rnacentral:lncRNA from 1 species
CUUUUUUUUUGUUAUCCUUUUAAUUUAUAUUGUAGUCUUUUUUUUUCAGUCGUCCGCACGAUUUUCAUUUGGACCUGUUACAUUUGAACGUGGACUUUAAUUAUCCCUGAUGUAUAUUGACCUUUUGUUUGUAAACAUAGCAAGAUUGUGAUAUAUUCUGAAGCUCGUUUCGAAGUGAUUCUACUCGUUAUCAUUGGCAAUGUUGACACUGUAUACAGAGUGUUCAGGAAGGGUGCAUUCUAUUGUUCAGAUGACGUGAACAAGUUCUAUUCAUCGAAACAAACAAGCACAGGCUCUGAAUCAACUGUUCAAGAUCAUUUCUCCAUAAUCUCCAAGCCUUAUACCACACUAAUUUCUUGUGAUCACGUCAACUCACAUUCAAUUACUGGUAAGCAGCACAGCACAUUUUACAACCCAAAAAAGGCACACCUAACCGGAAACUAAAGCAGCUCAACACCAUUAUGAAGAACCCAAAGUAAAAUAGUUGCACACCACGUUUGCAGCCAUGGUAUGCCAAACAAUACUAAGGAGCAAGUACAGCGGAUACAAUUCUAAGUUUCAUCGAAACAACAAAUGGAAAAGAGCACAGAAGUUCAUCGAAACCAAAAAAAAAAAAGGAAAAGAACAGAAGGGUUCGCUCGAUCUGCUAAAGGCAAUUUCGUCCUAACCACCUAUAAACUUAGACGACUAUAGUUCGACCCAAUGUCACUAUUAUAACAUGCAAAUACUCCGUGCAAGCAAACUAAACAUCAGAAGCUCAAUCAGCUCUGUAGAGUUGCUGUGCGAUGUGCCUGCCAUGAGAUAGAAGACGAGUAGCCGCUGGUGCCGUGAGGAACAGAGAGAGAAGUUGCAGGCCGCUGGUUUGCUUGCUCGUCGCUGACAGAAGCGGAGAAGGAGAUGCUGUGCUGCUGAUUGGUUCGGCAGAGAAGAUGGCUGGUGCUUGGAUUGGCUGCUUGUCUGCCUGUGGAGGAGUAGGGAUCGAUACUUGGCAGUGGAAGAGGAAGAACAGAGGGAGAUCGAUGGGGCUUCUGCUGAUUGGUGUCGUGGAGAAGAAAGAGCAGAGGAGAAAGAGCUGGGAGCGGCGGCAACCAGGGACAAGAAAGCCGCCUCCCGCGAACCUGCAGCCGCUCGAUCCGCGUAGCCAAGGAAAUCUCGGGCCUGUUCGCUUCAGCUUAUUCAGCCGGCUUAUCAGCCACCAAACAGUAUUUUCCUCUCACAACAAAUCAGCCGUUUCGGCUUUUCAGCCGGCUUAUAAGCUGAAGCGAACAGGCCUUCAGUACCGUCGCUUCUUUGCACCAUCCGCGUCACCGGGCGCCGCACGCUUCGACACACCCGCGACGGCGGAGCUGCCUUUGCCGCUCGCAGCAUCUCCUGGAGCUAGGGCCGUGUGCAGCGGCGGCGGCGGCGCGCGAGGGGAUCCGGAGGCACCAACUGGGACGCGGAUUCUCCGGAGGUUCGUGCGGCACACGCGCGACGUCGACGGCCGCCAUGUCGGCGGCGCCGAAUUUUGUAAGAAGCUUCCUGGUUUGGAUCGCGAUUAAUAAUCGCGAUCCGGUUAUUUGCGUAUUGCCCCCCAUAUUUUACAAACACCCCCUCUAUUUGGAUCAAGAUUAAUAAUCGAGAUCCAAUUAUUUUCAUAUUGUCCCCCGGAUUUUACAAACAACCCCCUAAUUUGGAUCGCUAUCCGAAUAUUUGCAAAAGGACCCCUAGCCCUGGUUUGGAUCGGCUGGCGUCCGGCGUCCUUCCCGCCGGCUACCUGCUCCUGCACCAGCACAGGCUCUCUGGCAUCCCUAACUCCUGCCGUGCCGGAACAAGCCGCACAAGCAUAAGCACAUCCGCAGCCAUGUCGAGCUCACCGUUGUCCGCGCACGAGAAUACGCGCGGCAGGGACAUGGCCGCCGUGGCCAGAGGAGAGCCGGUGCCCAGGCCCCCGCACGAGCCGGGCAGCGUCGCGGACUCCGACGCUGCCGGACGACGUCGCCGACGGGCGCCGCCCCGUGAUCGAGCUGCGCACGGCGCCGACCGACUUCUGCUUCCCGACCCAGAACCAGACGCGGCACUGCUACGUGCGCUACCCCGAGUACCACCGGUGCGUCAAGGCCAAGGACGGCGACGACCGGACGGAGUGCGACAAGUUCCAGCGCUACUACGGGUCUCUCUGCCCGACGGACUGGGUCGUGGAGUGGAACAGGCAGAGGGAGGAAGGGAUCUUCCCAGGGCCUAUCUGAACCAGCCGCCGAUGAACUUGUCACCGGCAAUGAUCUCUUUCAGCUUGCGUCUGGUAGAAUGUACGUGUAAUCUAAUACCACUAGAACGUGUAACUGAGUUUGUUCAGACUUCAGCAGAGUUCAGGCCUGUUCUUUCUUGGUUCCUUGCCUUGUGUGACUUUAUCGUGCUGCUUUCUCUUGGAUAAGAAAGUACCCGUGGAGACAAACAGAUGACGAGAAACAAGAUAAGCCUUCGUGCAGUCGUGCCCGUGUAUGUGUGGCCAUAUUUCCUCGCAGGAACACACAUCCAGAACCGACCAAAAAAUAUCAGAAGAGCUCAUAUCAGAAACAUACAAAUGCGGAUUUGGUAAAAGAGACGGCAAAUAUCGACACCGUCAUCCUAGGCUCCUAGCUACCUCACCCGAGAGAGAAGCACCGUAUCGCCAUGGCCACUUUCUUGGGCAGCUCGCCGGCGUUCCUCGCCCGCCCCGUCGCCAAGCCGCACAGCAUCUCCUGCGCUCAGCCCCCGCGCCCGCCCAGCGUCCAGAACCAGCCGCCACCCGGCGAGCAGCCGCAGCAGCAGUCCGUGCAGGCGCAGGCGCAGCCGGCGGCGAGGCCGAAGCGCGCGGGUGGCGCGGACUCCACGGACUGGGUGGCCUCGUCGCUGACGCGGCGGUUCGGGAUCGGCGCCGGGCUCGCGUGGGCCGGGUUCCUGGCCGUCGGCGUCGUGUCCGAGCAGCUCAAGACCCGCUUCGAGGUCGCCCAGCAGCAGGCCAACACCAAGUCAGUGCCACUCACCCAGCCGUGGCCGUGUUCGUUAGAAUAAUUCAGUUACAGAGGCCCGCCAUUUCCAUCCCGUGCCAGCCUGAGGCCUGACACUUGUUGUGCAGGGACGUGGAGCAGGAGCAGGAGGUGGUGCUCCCCAACGGCAUCCGGUACUACGAGCUGCGCGUCGGCGGCGGUGACGUCCCGCGCCCCGGCGACCUGGUGGUGAUCGACCUGCAAGGCCGGGUGGCCGGCGGCGGCGGGGAGGCGUUCGUGGACACGUUCGGGGAGGGGAAGCGGCCGCUGGCGCUGGUGAUGGGUUCCCGGCCCUACACCAGGGGCAUGUGCGAGGGCGUCGAGUACGUGCUGCGCUCCAUGAGGGCCGGCGGCAAGCGGCGGGUGAUCGUCCCGCCGGGGCUCGGGUUCGGCGACGACGGCGCCGACUUCGGGGAGGAGCACGUGCAGAUACCGCCCGGCGCCACGCUCGAGUACGUCGUGCAGGUCGACAAGGUGUCCAUCGCGCCGGCGUGAGGCGCGGGUAGAUAGAUCACAGUCGCCAUGAGACAAGUUUCUCCUUUAAUCGUCGAGCUUGCACACUGUUUAUCUCAUUAAAUGAACUGUUUUGGGGGAGUUUUGCUUCUCAGAAACAGAUUUUUUUAAAAAAAAUAAACUUUCUUGCAAGCUACCUAAUCCUAUCUUUCAAGUUUUCGUUACUGCCUGGCUUUUGUUUCCUUUGGUUCCAAAUCGACCUGUAUAGAUAGGAAAACAAAAGAAAAAAAUGCUUCUGCAGGGGAGAAGGCAGGGCAACAAGGUACAAGCUCAGAAGUCAGGAGUAUACUAACACGAGAAUAUAAGAUACAAAAAUACCAUGGCUGCGUAACAGAUACUGCCAAAUUGGGAUACUCACUACUGGCUCACAGUUCGCUCAAGUCACUUAGAAGAUGCACUUGUUGCAUGAUCUAACUCACUACUGAUCUGCGCAUGGAGACAAAGGGGGCACAAAAGGAAAUCUAACUUUUAGCCAACAAGAUACAUGUUUCUGAGCCUCACGAGUGAUAAAUAAGGAUAAACUUCAGUGCAAGCCCUUGGAACCGAAGGGGAAAUAAUUGCCACGUACACAAACAACAACCUAAAUUUAGGCUGACCCGUCAAUGGGUUCACUGUAGUUCUGUCAAAAACAAAAGGAAACCAUAAAUACACUGCAGGCAUAUACUAUACAUGUCUGUCACUGAAGACCAGCAGAACAAUUUGGCACGCUUCACUCAACUGAUAGGAUCACUUCCCGGGCCAGGAUUGUAGAGGGGGAGCUCAAGGAGGAAGGCGACCUUGAACCAUGCAGGCAGGGCUCCAUAAACAGCAGGUGGCAAUGGGAUAAGGGGACUGAAGAGAACAAUAAACACGCUAAUCAGUUAAUCUGCGCUGCUGAAAACCAGGGGUUGGACUCUGGAGAGAAAUUUAUGUCUACCUUGUAGUGUUCUUGUAUACACGGUAUUCCUCCAAUCGUCCAUAGCGCUUAUCAGCAGAUGACUUUGCAAUAGAAAUAUGAAGGAUAUAAUGUGUUAGUAUUUUGCAAGCACUAUAGUUAUGCCAUCUGAACGCACAAAAACAGUUGCUGACCUCAAGGAGUGGGAUUCCACUAACGAAAAGUAGCAGAAGUGUCAGGAAUAUAGGUCCCAAAAUCACAAGCCAUUCAGCACCUGAGAGAACUGGGGUUGAUGCUACAAAUACUCCCCACCAAAGGAAUAUCUGCACCAGAUUCAAUUGUUAUACAGAUGUCGGUCACUUUUCAAUAUUGAUGUAUAUGAAUAAAACUAAUCGGCAUCAUAAAGGCUGUAUGUAGAAUAUUCUGUACUUGCAAUCAAAAUUCAUCAGCAUGUAAACGACAAUAUGCAUUGAGAUCACUACACAAACCAUUACUAACAAGUAGCUAUUCUAAGGGCAGCUGAGUUUUUGCUAUCUUACUGAAUUAACUGGAGUAUACAAGGUCAGUGAGUGUACAUGAAAUAACUAACCUCCCCAAAGUAAUUCGGGUGGCGAGUAUACUUCCAGAGUCCCACAUCACACCACUUUCCCCUAUUACUUGGAGAGUUCUUGAACACAAGCUUCUGCUGAUCAGCUGUUGCUUCUACGCAUAUCCCAACCAACCACAUUAUCCAACCAAUUAUAUCCCUGGCUUCAAUCGGGGGGUUUCUGUCACUUGCAUUCACAACAGUGACAGGCAAGCUGACAGACCAAACCCACACAGCCUGCCCAAGCAGGAAAAAUGGCCUGGUGAGUAUUCUUGUGAAAAUCAUGAUCAGAUCUAAUAGCAGAACACAAGUAGCAAAAGGUACCUGGAAAGUCCAGAAAACUGCUAGUUUCCCCAAAUUAUCACGCAUUUCAUCAAACCGGCGAUCUUCACCCCAUUGCAUAAUCCUGGAAAUUACUAGGAAACAGAAGCAUUAGCAAUUUAUUGAACAACAUCGACAUGUUUUUGGUCAUGCUAAAUGAUUAUUUGUCAUGUAACAGCAAUACAGCAUACCUCAUCAAUAAAAACAGUCCCAGACGAAGGCCCCAGAUUGUGACAAGCACUGUCAGCACAAUCUGAAACAAAGAUCAAGUUUUUUUCAUGCACAAAUUUUAAAAUGAUCUUUAUUUAUUCCUACAAAGGAUAUCGCAAAUAAACUAUUACUGCAGUGUAAGGGCACUAUCCUUUUGUUUCAUUUCCUUUUAAAAGAAACAAAGCUAUUUUUGAGACUUUAUGCUCAUCUCUUUCCCAGCAUUUUUUUAUAGAUUUUAUAGGAAGAAAAACAUGCCUACUCCCUCCAUCCCGAAAAACAUGUCAUUCUAGGAAUUUUAGGACAGAUUAAUAAGAAGGUAAAAUGACCUUGUUUGCCCCUGUUUAUUAGCCAUAUUUGGCACUAAUUGAUAGCCGAAUGCUCAUGCACAUACCAAAUAGGGUAAAAUGACUUGUUUUUUGGGACAAAUUUUGAAUCCUAGAAUGACAUGUUUUUUGGAACGGAGGGAAUAUAUUCCUUUCCUACGAAGAUGGAAUCAGAUGACCAUGUCUCGAUGGAUUCACUUAACAUGAUUAAAAAAUUUCAGUUUCUAAUUUUAACGUAAGCGACAAAAUAGUUCUGCUAGCUUUAACAACAAUGUAAAAUUUGCAGCAUCUAAGUUUAACAAUUGUUCUAAUCUAAUUUUAAUGUUACUGACAAUUCUGCUAGUUUUACAAACAUUGACAAAUUUGAGGCAUCUAAUUUUAAUGUAAGUGGGUGAAGCAAUUCUGCUAGCUUUACAAACAUUGUUGAAUUUGCCGUGUCUACUAUAAUUAUCGAAGCAAUCCUGCUAGCUUUGUAAACUUUGUUAUUUAAUAUUAGAUACUGCAGAGGUAGUUUUAACCGUGCUAGAUUGCCACAAAUACCAUAGUACACAGCACCUCCAGCUAAACAUCAAUAAAAUCACGGUAACUCCAGAGAUCUAUGACCUAGAGAAACAGAGAAUGCAACUCAAAAUUCCCAAUAAAUAGCUUGCGGGUCAUGCUGCAGCUACCAUAACUCACAUUUUCACUCAAUGACAGAAAUUCAGUAAGAAAAGGUAAAUCCAGUUUAUGUAAUCCACAUAGUCAACUGCUAGUAACAAAGUUGUUGCGGCAAUUGGCCAAUAGAUUUUGUUUCAAGUGUUUGCUCCAAAAAAAUAGACAGUGCAGCAUAAAUGAAAAGGCUCCAGUAGUUCUGAUGAAUUCAGGCUUUUUCCCUACUGAACCAACCAGACUAUGUUUACAUUGAAGCGAAUAGAUUUACCAUCAACAAACUAUUACCUGACGGAAAUGCCAUGCUCCCUUCAAAACUAGUGUUAGGAUGGCGAUUAUGACAAAAUUUGUACUGCCUGGAAAGAGGAACACAAAUCAUGGUGGGGAGAAAAAACAACAAAGCUAGUAUGCUACAAAGAACUUGUGUCAGUUCAGACUUCAGAGGCUGGUACACAGAUAACCAGCUUUAUCAGAUAGAUUGUCCAGAACGCAAGGUUGACUUGUAAAAAUAAAGGAUAGGUUGCAUGUAAGCUCACAAAAACAAGUAGGAAAAUUAUAGUACUGGAGAGAUUAUUAUAUGUCGGGCAGUAGUUGAUUGUUGGAGCAACGGAGGCCGCACAAACUGUCAUUAACCAAUCUUGCUAACGGUCAUCCAAACUGAACUCCCGAGGAAAACUAAUCACGACAAAAACAAUACCCUCCAAGCAUUAGCAGCAAACUAAAUUCACAUUCCCCGCCGGAAUUAUGCUAGAAAUUGCGCCUUAUUUAGUUAUUAAGGACAGCUAUGGAAAGUUGGCAACCCAUUCAAGCCUCAAUUAGGCGAGAGCUGGCCGAGGUAGUUACCUGCGAAAUCCGUGACCUUGUCGAACCGGAGGAGAGCCGUGAUGAUGAAGAACAUCAGCUGGUACCCCACCUACACGCACCACCACCGAGAAGGGAACGAGGGGGUUAGCAAACCCUCACGGUCGGAGAACCGCGCGUUCCAGAAUUUGCUCAAGGAGACGAGAGGGAAGGGGGGGAGUUCGGGGCUUACGGUGACGAUGGCGGUGAGCGCCAGGAAGUGCGAAUCCAGCACGGUCCCCAUGGCUCCGGGGUCUCUGUUUCGCCUCGAACCGCCUCGACGCAGCUCGUGGUGAUGGAGGCACGCGUUAAUUGCGAGGAGAGCUGUAGCGAGCGAGUAUUUAGCGAGGUGGGUUUGGUCGACGGCCGAUGCGGCGGAGGCCGGUGGGAGUCAUCCCCAUAGGCCACAGCCCCGGGGCGCGCUUGUGGCCAGGGUUGAGACAGGGAGGCUGGUGUUGGACCGGACCAUUCUGUGCUGCGACCGCGAAUACUUGCGCAGCGGGCUAUACAAAUGCUUGGCCCAAAGCGAAAGGCGCGGGGAGGAAGAAAAGGAGAACGGAUCACCAAUGUUGCACGCCGAAUCUCCGGAGAUGGAGAACGAGAUCGCCCACUUCUUUGAAGAGAAGAUUGCAGCCCACCACGGCACCACAUAGGAAACAAGUUACUGACAUCCUAACAGAAGUCGACAAUCUUGCAAUUACUGAUGAACAUUGUUAGCUUGGGAAAUUUUCAAAAGUCCUAUCUGGUUGUCAAAGGACCCGUUCUGUAACGCGAAUUUAUGAGAAUUCAUGCAGAAAUUAAAUUGUACUAGUAUAUGUGGCGAAAUAACAGGAGGGCGCCAAAUAUGCCGAGGGCGAAAUAACAGGACUAUGCCGAGGAAUCAUGACACAAUAACACACAUAAAUUAUAUCGUUACCAGACAAAUAUGCAUAUACUGACACAUCACACACGGAAGUGGAAGAAUCCACAGGCAAAGCGAGGAAGCCUGGAGAACGCAGACAGGAAAGAAAGAGUAGCGUGCUCGAUCAAGAUGAUUCAGCAACGCCAUCAUGCUCUUAGGACAGACAGAUUGCAAGAUGCACCCCCGACGAACUCAUCGACGAACCAUCCGACACCUACUCGUAUGGUAAUGCAGCAAGCGAACGGAACUUGAACGCAUCACGACUAGGAGUGGUAGCCUAGCAAAUUUAAGGAUCGGAAUCCAUAAGAGUCGGAUCAUAAUAAUAUAUAAUUUUGAGUUAGAAAUGAAUAGAGCUGAGUUGGAUGGUGAAGAAAGCGGGCGUGGUCCAUUCCCACUGAUCACGACUCGUUUUCACGGCUGCGAGUACACCUGCGCGAACCAGAAGCACGGCGGCUUGUACCCUUCCGCGGUCGGGAGCGCCUCCACGACCUCGAUCCGCUUGUGCCUGCCCGCGAGGCUGUACGCCCACACCCGCGUCUCCCCCUCGAGGUCCACGGCGAAGUACACCGUGUUGGGCCUCAGCGCGGGGCACUCCGCGGUGGACGCGGCGACGGCGCCCGUCGCGUCCACGAGCACCGCGGCGUCGCCGAUGUCCUCCGUCUCCUCCCACGUCUCGCCGCACUCGUCCAGCACGCGCACCACGAACCCCUCCCCGCCGGCCGCGCGCACGGGGCGGAGCAGCUCCACCUGCAUCAGCUCGCCGCGGGGGGACUCCACCAAGAAGCUGCGCUCCACGUACGCGCUCGGGCGGCGCGUCACGGAGGGGAUGAUCUCGGGGGACGCCGACCCCAGCCCAUGGAGCUCCGGGAACAUGUACAUCAUCCCGUACCGCGUGUUGGCGUAGAGCUGGCCCCGGUGGACGACGACGUCGACCACGGCCGGGAUGCUGGUCGGCGCCACGGACUUCCACGCGCGGUCCCCCGGCCGCGCCGUGGCCCACUGGUUGCGGUGCUGCAGCUGGCGGUAGAUGGCGACCACCAUCACCCCGCCGUCCGGGGUGGGCACCGGGACGGCCUUCUGGAUCAGGGCGCCGACGGGGAGGACGCCGCCGCCGCGGUGCUGGACCUGGAGGCCCUCGACGCGGGCGACGAGCGGGAGCGUGGCGACGGGCGGGAGCGGCCAGCGCCCGCCCGUGACGGGGUCGAGCAGGUGCAUCUCGCCGCGGUCGUCGGCGGCCACGAUCGCGCCGCAAGCGGAGCCGAGGGGCACGAACCGGCGCGAGGUCAAGCGGCCGAGGCGCGCGGGGAGGGUGGCAACGGGCACCUCGUGGUCGGCGCGCACGACUAGGCGGCCGUGGUCGUGAUCCGUUGCGACAUCGGCGGGGAGGAGCAGCCAGGGGCGGUCGGGGCGAGGCUGGCCGCGGCGGGCGGUGAAGGCGGUGGCCGCGGCGCGCCAGGAGGCGCAGACGGCGCGGAAGCGGAGGAGGUCGAGGGACGGGAGGCGCACGACGACGAGGUCGAGCAGAUCCCCGUGGAGCCCCGUCCAGUCCGCCAUGGCGAUCGCGGGUGACGUCGUGGGGAGGAGCGGAGCAGAGGGGUGGGGGGGUUAUAUUGUGGGAUCGCGGCGAGGGGCGGCGGAGGAGCGACGGUCGCGGGGCGGCUGCCCAUUUUGGGAUAAAAGGGGGCUCCGCGUUCCGGGGGUUGCUUGCUUCUCACGCGCGUCGAUUUGGGGGUGGUUUGGUUGUUUUUAUUGUACUUUCUAAGCUGGUCGAUUGGGCCGAGAAAAUUCCGCACCGGCCCGUCAGAGAUUUAAGCCUGUUGUGACGGGGAUCAUCGAGCAAGUGUUACCCUCGCGUCGCCGUCGCCGUCGCCAGAGGCUGCGGGAUUCUCCCGUUGCCGCCGCACGCCGGGGACCCUGAGCUCCCCGCUCCGCCGACGCACGCCACCACAGAGGAAUCGCUGAGUUCCUCGUCCAGCGGGGUGAAGCCGUGAAGGGACGCUCCCGCUGACCCGGAUCCUAGAUCCAGAAAGAUCCAGAAGGGGGGCACCCGAGGUGGUGGAGCCCGGGCAAGGCAGCGGCGGAGCUUCUACGAGCCGAUGGCGAGAACUCGGCGCUGCUGCGGGAGCUUAACGACGUGGCUGUCGAAGGGAAGCCGGCCUCGAGCGCAGCGGCGGAAGCAAUCCCUGGAUGAGCGGUCCUGGACGUGGCCGUGGAAAGGGUGACGACCUUGAGCAUGGUGGUGGUCCUGGAAGCUUCGACGAUCUCGACCGCAGCGGCGGAAGCAAUCCCCGGUGAAUCCGUUGUUCCUUGCUCCCCCUUCUCCCCUUUCUCUUCCCUGUCUUAUUUUUUUCACAUGCCUUUCCCAUUUCAUUUACGUCUCUUCAGAUUAGGAGUUCACUAGGCUGAUGAAGGCGGGGCCAUGACAGAUGUUGUAGGUAGCAGAUCAGGGCGAUCCCCAUGUCGAUAUGGGCAGGGUGCGGUAGAUGCGUGCACAGUGACUUACAAGCCCAUUUGUGUUGAUCGAUUGCGUAUGGAUUUUUUUUCAGGUUCCUGCUUAGUGCUUGUAGAAGCAUUUAACUAGUUGCAUCUUAGAUUCCACACCGAGCACUGGUCAUGAUGUGCUACUCUCUCAAAGUCUUAUUUGCUUAUGUCAUACUCUCCUAAUGUUUUUUCUAAAUUUUGAAACUUUAGUAUUUCUUUUUCUUCCGAGUGUGCCUUUUAGCAUUUUCAUUCCAUUUUAUUGUUUGAUAGGAAGCAUAAUGCCUAGAUAUUUACUGGACCGAUACUUCAAGGACUUUCUCUAGGAUGCCUUGUUUAGUUUCUAAUAUUGUGUUCACUGUCUACAAUCUCAAUGCAUAAUUCUUUCACUUUCCAGUAAUCACUUGUUAGUGUAGUGACUACCUAGCUACUCUGUAUUAGAUAUCGAUGUGUUGUUCUCUUACAUGUUUAGCUUGGUUUUCUGUCUUCCAUCAGGAUCGAUUUCCUCAUGCGCAUUGUGAUAAUGGUUCAGCAUUCCUUUUUAUCUAGUUUUUGAUUUUAUUUCUCCAGAAAGGUCAGAAUAAUCUUAUGCUUUAACCAAAUAUACUCGUAUGUCUUUGUAGGUUUUCCCGAGAAUUGAUAGUGACAAUAAUGGAUCAAUUGAUGAGUCUGCAAUACCAGCGUGAAAAACCCCCCGGCCUAAAUUGUGACAAUAUAUUGCACAGUUAAAGUAACUUAUCCAAUAACCAAAAUAAGGUUCAUUAAGCGAUUGCACAUGGUGCAAUUACAUGAACUUACGAUAUCAACCUAACUUAUAGUGACAAUAUAAAGUACAUUCAGCAUACUUAUCCAACCACACUAAAAUGAUCACACAUGGUGCAAUCACAAUAACUUAUACCAUCUACCACCCUCCAGAUAUUAUCAGCAUCUUACGGGCUGCAAUUUGAUCUGUAGUACCAUCAUCAACGGGAAUGACGCCGUGUACAAGGCUCCAGAACAGUCAGCUUAGAUGUAGGCGCAACUUUGUGUUCAAUAUACAUUCUUAUGGCCACGACCGCUCUAGACGCUUCCUUGAGCACAUCAUUGCUAAUGGGCCAGCAAGUUUUAUUAGCUUCCCCAGAGCACCUCCAAGGAUCAUGAAGAGUGUCCAAUGUAAGACACUCAAGUGAGACUGCGUUCUUGACAAUGCAACAUGUUAGCUCAACCAAGCUCUUUGCAGAGCUAAACCCUAUGAUCUCCACAAUCUUGAGGCAGUUGUGUAGUUGUUCAGGCAGCUCCCCCAAAUGUGAGGAAGCUCCAAAAACUGAUUCAUGCGUCACAUCUUCAUGAGGCACCUGAUGAUGAAAAGUAAAUUAGAUCAUGGACCUAACAAAGUGGCCAGAUACCUUCGAAGGAUAGGUUUCGUCCAAGAAAAAAGUCUCCAAGGAAGGAGACGCAUCAAAGAAAUAAACCAGAGAAAAAUAAUUAUAUGGUGGGGAAAAUGUCCUUUCUGAAAUCAGAAUGGUUAGAUGCUUGAGGUAGAGGAAUUUGGUAAGCACCAUUGGUGCAUUAACCACCUGCACAAUAAAUAUGUCAUGUUUGGAAAGAUCACACACAGGGUAUGCCUAUGUAUCGCUACACUGCAGCACCUGAAGUCUUAAGAAUACCUCAAUACCCGAACCAAUUAAAAGAGUCUCAAGAUUUGGCAUAAUGGACGGAAGCUCAGCACAAGCAUAACACACCACAUCUGACUGGGCAUGUCCAAUUUCUUCAUUUUCAACAGUAGUCCAAGUGAAAGUUUUAUAUUAUCUCCGGAAAAGUCAAUAAUUGAGAUCUUUGGAGCUUUGCACUCUACUGUCUGCAACCUAUAGCAAUCAAGAACAGUCAGGCGGCUGAGCUGCUGCAGCACACAAGGCAUCUUCAGAAAAAUGAUCUCCUUGCAACUAUAGAGCUCCAACUGCUCCAAAGCAAAGGAGUUGGAAAGAAGGCACUCUAAUUCAUCACCCGUAAUACGAACCGAACUCAGAUUCUCAAGGGACCAAGUUCAGAUGUGGGAUGAAAAACACAAGUGUCAAGUUGAAGAUCCCGAAUUGAGUUUCUAACACCAUCAGAAAAAAGCGAGCAUGGGAAGUUGUACUUUUUAUAUAGGUAAAGGUUGAGCUUUUCAAUCCCUGAUCUAACAGCAACCUGGAGCCAACUGUCAAUAUAAGGAAAGGUAUUGUCUUCAUCACCUAAAUUAAGCUCCAAUGUCUUCAAGCCAAUGCCCGAGUGGUUUCUCAGAAUCCUGUAGAUAUUCCACUUGAGCAGUGUCCAAAUCAAGGUGAGGUUGGGAUGACAUCUCCAGGAUCAUAGAAAGGCAUGAGAAAGGCAAGCAGCACGAGCAACAUCACGCAUGGGCAUUAGGGUAUGUAUAUGAUACCAGAUGUCCUGCAUGUACAAGCAUGGGUUACAAUUUCAAAGUUAAGACCAAACGGAAUGUCAACAUUAAAGCCAAAAUGGAAUAUUGUCUACCCCAUGCAUGGUUUCACAAGGUGCACUGUAUUACAUAGGUAUAUGAUGCAAUGGAAUGCAACGGUGGUCGAUAAAUUGAGCAGAGCAUUGCAUAGAGAAGUUUUUCCCAAAUAUCCACUUCUGGACUAGCAAAAGUAAAUUUCAUCCCACAAACAAGAGGAAAAUGGAAUUUAAUGAUGUUUGCCGUGCUUUAUGCCAAUUGGCCAAUAUAAAAUGAGUCCAUCUUAUUAGGUUGUACUUGUACCUUCUAAGGAACCUAGAAGCAGUCUUAAACUUCAUGUCAAGUGCAUCAAUGUAGAUGCUGCUGACAAUAAUUUUGGCAUACUCUGUGCUCAAAGAUAUAUUUAAUACGUAUUCACAGGGAGAAGAUGAAUGCAAUUUUGUUAUGUUUAGGAACGAGAAAUAUAUAACUAAGAUUCUGAUGGUUCUCUUGCUAUAACUGUCCGCUCUGCAAAGCCUGGUGAUAUCACAGUUGAAUCCUCUCGAUAACCAGCAAAGAGGACAGCCAAGAACUGGGGGAUCCUAGGCUGUUCUGAUUAUAUUGUAUAGUUUAUCAAAAACAGCAUGUAGCUCUAUCAACUACUCUCAAACAGCAACAACAGUCACAUGCCUCCUUAUUACUGGUAGAUACACUCAGGCUCUGGAUGGCAGGACAUACGCAGGAGAAGUGAGAAAAAGUGGAAUGUCUAUUGAUCCGAGAAUCUCAAGAGAAUAUUGAUCCGACAAUUUCGGAGAAUUUAAGGUUAUUUAACCUUCACAAAUAGAAAAGAGCGUAUAGAUAGUAAUAUAAAUGCGGUAGUGAUGUUAUAGUCUUUGCACAGAGAAGUUAGAGCAAAGCAAAGCUACCAAUUCACUAGGAGCAGGACUGUGAGCAAAUGCAGCACUGAAGGAUCUUAUGUCUGUUACAAAUAAUAUCCAGCUAGCACUAGCAGAGUCCUAUGAAUUAGUUUAGUUAGAGCAGUCACAGUGAAAUGCGUAUAGAUAAUUGGGGUGUUUGGAUCCUAGAGCUAAAAUUUUGUCCGUAUCACAUCGAAUAUUCGGAGGCUAAUUAGGAGGACUAAAUAUGAGUUAAUUAUAAAACUAAUUGCAUAGAUGGAGGCUAAACGGCGAGACGAAUCUAUUAAGCCUAAUUAAUCCAUUAUUAGGAAAUGGUUACUGUAGCAUCAUAUUGUCAAAUCAUGAACUAAUUAGGCUUAAUAGAUUCAUCUUACCGUUUAGCCUCCAUCUGUGCAAUGAGUUUUGUAAAUAGUCUAUGCUUAAUACCCUAAUUAGUAUCUAAACAUUUGAUGUGACAUGGGCUAAAGUUUAGCCCUGGGAACCAAACAGCCUAAAUACCUCAGGAAGCCAUGGGAUUAAAUUGCUCGAUGUUUCGCCAUGUCGAGAAUCAGCAUCACCAGGGGCGCACCCAACGUGGGACAUGGUGAGACCUGAAUACAAAAAUUGAAGUUAGGCUAUCCGCACCGCUAGGCUCAGUAAAAAAACUUGUAAAACACAAUGGCCCACAGGACAGGUCAAUUAGAGGGAACGGUAAAAAAACUAAGUUGUCGUGCGUGCGCCUCUAUCCGCAUCUCCUUCCGUCCCUAGCGGCUCCCUCCCUCCCUUCGCCGGGCGCUGCUCCAGAGCCUCCUUCUCCCCGCCGGCAUGGCCAUGGCGGCCGUGCCGCCACCCAGGAACCCCACCGCUGCUCCAGAGCUCCUCCUCCCCGUCGGCCACGACCUCCUCCUCCCCGCCCGGCCUCCGCACCCGCUGCCGCCACCCUGGAUGUGCUGCUCCUCCACAAGAGGAUAGUGUUCGUGUACAGGAAGCUCUGGAUUUGGAGAUCUCCUGUAGUGAAUGGAAAGGUGAAGUUUGUUUUAGAGGUUUGCGGUGUCGGAGUCUCACCUGAAUAUUUCCAGUUACGGGGCAUUUGGUGAGCCACGGUGCAGAUAGCCUUAGUAGGUAAAAUACAUGGUCAGCUUUGAAUACAAAAAUAGCAUAAAUUAGGGUUUGGGGGUGUUCGAUUUCGCACAGCAGGAAGGUCCGAAGGUAAGGUUAAGGGAACGGGCGGCCAUAGCCUGGCGGACGCUUGUCGGCUUGUCGCUGAUGAAGCGCCCGACGAAGACCUGCCCACGAUCGUCGCUGGUAGGAAGGAAAGGCAGUUUUUUUUUUUUUUGGUAUAAAGGCAGAGGCAAGGGUUCCAAGCCUUUAGAUUGCAGACCCUAGCAGUGCCCGAGCCGGAUAGCAACUGGCACAGGAGUCGGCCCAGCGGCUUAUACAGGUGGCGGCCCAUCAUAUGGCCUAGCUUGCGCACGCAGAGAGACCCGUGGGCCGUGGGCUAUUGGCAACAGCCAGCUGGGAUGGGCCAGCAAAGGGCAGCAGCCCGUGGGUAGACCGGACUAUAUAACACGAGUCUGUUUGUCCGAGCUGCAGUUGUUGGAGGGCUGAAUUUUUUUCAAAAACAGCUAAUAAUAAUUUUCCAAAAAUGCGUUUAACUUUCUGACUUUUCAGCUUUUCAUAUAAACUCAGAUUUACUGAGCUUCUAGCUUUUCGAAAACUGCACGAGAAGUUUUCUGUUUGUUUAAACUUCUUACUUUUCACACUUAGAAGCUGCUAGAAGCCUCAAACAAACAUCCUAGCUCCGGAAUCUCUUUUUUAAUGGACCUUCCACAUUUGAGAUUUGUGCAAACAAUCACCUGUCUGCUGCGGUCUAGCUCUAAGGUUCCAGUCUGCCACCACCUUUUACUCUCUCGCACGACGCUACCCCCUGUGCCGCCGCCACCGCCUGCACGUGCCAUCCUCUGCGGCCCUGCGGCCACGCAUUGUUGUUGUCCGCGUGCUCCACCGUCGCCACCCGACACGUCGCCAUCCGCGUCCUCCACCUCCGCCGCUACCUGUGUGCAGCCUCCACCACUACUACAGGUCCUGCUACACCUUGCCUACGUUGUGUUGGUCAUCCCAAGCCACCCCAUGUCGCCUUUGUCGUGCCGGCCAUCCCACACGACCCCGCCAUGCGCCGUUGCCGCCACCAUAGUCGCAGAAAAUAUUGAUUUUUUUUUCAAAAUGUUGAUCAUGUCUUGGUAAAUGUUGAAUCAAUUCGUUGAAAUAGAUUUUGAAAAAAUUGAAACUAAUAUUUUUUAAAAUGUUGAGCUAGCUUUUCAAAAAUUGUUGAAUCUAUUAUUUUCACAUGUUGAUCCGUUAUUCAGAAAAUGUUAAAACCCAUCUUUCGAAUGUUUAAUGUGAACCUCCAAUUUAAAUUUAUGGAUUUUAAAGGCAUAAAGCUUGAUCAAUUUCCACAUGUUGUAUAGGAGGCCUGUGGUAGACCUGACGGGGGAAGUUUGCAUAAUCAAUUAUUGAGAAUGCAUGGCGCAAGAAGAACCCAGGAAGUGAUUUAGGUGCGCUGGCAGAUUCGCUUAAAGCAGUCACCGCUGAUCUGAAAGUCUGGAGCCGGGAGAAAUUUGGCCACGUUACAAAGCGCAUUGCGGAGCUGAGAAAAGAACUCGAUGAGAUCUUAUACAGAGAAGAGAUGAUGUGGCUCCAAAGAUCGAGAAUUACAUGGCUGAAGGAAGGGGACAGAAACACAAAAUACUUCCAUAGGAAAGCCAGAUGGAGGGCAAGGAAAAACUGGAUAAAGAAAGAAGAUGGUAGUUGGGGCUCCGGGCAAGAUGAAAUGCAAGGUAUGGCAGAACAGUACUUCUCAAAUUUAUUUUGAAGAGAUGAAGGGGUGAAUCCUGCAGAGAUUGCUGAUUUGUUUGAUCCACAAAUUACUGAAGCUAUGAACUAUGACCUGUGUAAACCAUAUACACCUGAGGAGAUUGCGGACGCCCUUUUCCAAACUGGGCCUCUUAAAGCACCUGGGCCAGAUGGCCUUUCAGCUAGGGUUUUUCCAACGAAACUGCCCUUAUCGAAGGAUGACGUUGUCCAAGGAAUUCUUUGAAACGGGAGUUAUGCCUGAGGGGGUUAAUGAUACUUGCAUUGUGCUAAUACCUAAAGUUACAUAUCCGGAGACUUUAAAGGACUUCAGGCCCAUCAGCUUAUGCAACGUCGUCUAUAAAGUGGUAUCUAUAUAAAGUGGUAUCUAUGUGUAGUGUGAACCGUUACGACCUCUUUUGCAGGAUAUUAUUUUCCCAAGCCAAAGUGUUUUUGUUCCGGGAAGUCUAAUUACAGACAAUGCUCUUAUUGCUUUUGAAUGCAUCCAUGCUAUAAAUUCAACCACAGAUGAAAGGAGUAGCUAUUGUGCAUACAAAUUGGAUCUCUCUAAGGCGUAUGACAGAGUCGAUUGGAGUUUUUUAAACAACGUUCUGCUGAAGCUAGUUUUUUAAACAACGUUCUGCUGAAGCUAGGCUUUCAAAGUAAUUGGGUUCAGAGGAUCCUGACUUGUGUGACCUCUGUAGUCUGUACGCUACUCGGUCCGCUUCAAUGGCGCCAUGUCGGUGCCUUUUACUCCAACGAGAGGUCUUCGCCAAGAUGAUCCUUUGUCGCCAUAUCUAUUCUUUUUGUUGCUGGUGGUCUAUCUAAAUUGAUUAGCAGGAAAGUUCAAGAAGGGGCGCUCGAGGAAUUGCGGGUUUGCAGAGGGGCGCCAGGUAUAUCACACUUCUUACUUGCUACGACACCUUAUUAUUUUUAAAGCAAAUUCAGACCAAGCCACUAAAGUUAAAGCUAUUUUUUUAGAUUAAGAAAAUUAUCCUGUCUUGAACAUUCACAAGUGAAUAUCUACGACCACAAAGAAAUAAAUCCAACCACCUAGUUCAGAGGCACAUGAGUAUUUAGACUCCACGCCUCAACACGAGGGUCAAAGAAAAUAAGAAAGCAAACCACUAAGAAAAAAAAGCUAAAAGGACUAAGCUUCAAACUUCUUCUAUGCUCUUGCUUCCACCUAGCCAUGGGCCUUGUGCAGCAACUAAUCCCUCCCAUCUAUCAUUUUUUUAGAAACUUUAGAAGUUAGGAUGAUCCUGCUCGACGGCCAACUAUUUCCUAUCGCGUAGAAACUGCACUUAGUCAAUCUCCACCAUGCACACUGGCAUUACACUAAAACCGCCAUCCCUCCAAGCUGAACGCAUACCGCCAUCCAAGGAUUUCAAAACGGCACCUCAAGACGAAAGCGAUGUCAAGACGCCUCUGCCACCUGAACCUGCUUCGGUUCUUCUUUUUUCAUAUGGAAAAAGUCUCUAGGUCAAGUUCCUCACCGCAACGCCUUCAACAAGAAGCACGAUGCAUCACGGCACCGUCGUCACCAGCACCGGUCAAGACCGAUCAUGACUUUCGCCUGAGGACCUCGACACAUAUGAGCACUGUACAGGCCAAUUAAUCAAUCCCACGAAGUGCUCCAUCAUAUUUAAUGAGAAGGGACAACAUGAAAGGCAUGAACAAGUGAAGAGGAUUCUGGGGGUGAAGCUGUCCUCUUUUGAAGCCAAAUACCUUGUUCUGCCAACGCCCUCUGGCAGAAUGAAGGGUGAAAGAUUUCAACAUCUCAAGGAGCGGUUGGAGAAGAGGCUUCAAGAUUAUAUGGAAAAGAAUAUGUCAGUGGCUGCAAAGGAAAUUCUAAUUAAAUGAGUGGCACAAGCGCUCCCCACAUUCAUCAUGAGUGUGUUUAAGUUACCACUUGGUCUGUGUGAUGACUUCACUAGCAUUAUACGGCAGUUUUGGUGGGGGGUGGAGAAUGGGAAGAGGAAAACGGCAUGGAUUGCCUAGAAGGAUCUCACCCAAAAGAAGUGUUGUGGUGGAAUAGGUUUCAAGGAUCUGCGUCUUUUCAACCAAGCCCUCCUUGCUCGACAAGCCUAGCGGCUAGUGGCGUUCCCAGAGAGCCUUUGUGCUAGGGUGCUGAAAGUGAGAUAUUACCCAAGAGGGAAUUUGGUUCAAAUUCUUCCCAAACUUGGCAAUCUAUUGUCCAUGGUCUCGACCUCCUGAAAAAAGGUGUUAUCUGGAGGAUUGGGUGCGGGACACAAGUACGUAUAUGGUGGGAUCCGUGGAUUCCAAGGGAAUACUCCUUAAAGGUUACUACAAGGAAAGGAAGAUCACGCAUGAAAUGGGUUUCAGAACUUUUGGACAUCACUGGCCAUAAUUGGGACUAUGAUAGACUUAUUGGCACAUUUAAUCCAGCGGAUGCGGAUGCGGAUGCUAUUGCUAAGAUCAAAUUACCCAGCACAUUGUCGGAGGAUUUCCUAGCUUGGCACCUGGAGAAAUCCGGCAUUUUUAUGGUUCGCAGCGCCUACAAUCUGGCCUUAAAACUACAGGAGGUAGGAGUAGCUACUGCAUCUAGUUCAGCUCCAGAUGGAGAAAGGAAAUUGUGGUCGCAUGUUUGGGAGGGCAACGUGCCCCCAAAGGUCAAUACAUUCGCUUGGAGAAGCAAGUUUGUCAGGAAGCUUGACCAGAUGGACACCUGCCCUUUAUGUGGGCAGACAGCUGAGACAAGUUACCAUGCUACGGUGACCUGCCCACAAGCGCGUGACAUUAUACAAGCGAUGAGGGAUCACUGACCGGUACCUGAUGAGGAACUUUUUGAAUAUUCAGGACCGGACUGGCUACUCCUACUGCUGGAGCGAUGCUCUGGCGAGCAAAGGGAUUUAACGAAAUUGAUUUUGUGGAGAGCAUGGACAGUUCAUAAUAAUAUAACCCAUUGCUUCGGGCCAACCAGUAUCCAGGAGUCGGUGCACUUCUUGCUGAAUUUGAGGCAUGUUUUGUGUCAGCAUGAGUGGAAAGAUGUGAAUCCAGAGGACAAAGGUAAGGCUCCCUGUAGCUGGUCCGACAAUAGAGUAGAGCGUGGCAGGAUUUUGAAGAAUGAGCAAGGUUGUGGAUAUUGGAAGCCACCACCUGAAGGUUGGGUCAAGGUCAAUGUGGAUGGGUCCUUCACAGAGAAUGGGGACGCUAGGGUCGGAGUAGUGGCGAGAGGUAGCAAUGGGGAAGUCUUGUUCACGGCUUGGAGAGUCCUUUUCAGAUAUGCGGAUGCUGCUGAGGCGGAGGCUAGAGCAUGCAUGAAAGGAAUUAGGCUAGCCACCCAAUGGUCCCAGGGAUCGGUGAUCGUCGAAUCUGAUUGCGCACGGGUGGUCCAUGCCAUGCAACGCAAGCAGGACAAGUCUGAGCUAUGCUUCAUCAUUGCCGAAGCUAGAGAACUCACCACGCUGUUGGAGAAUUGGGAGAUAGCCCAGGUGAAAAGAGAUUGUAAUCGAGUUGCUCAUGAAUUAGCUUUGUUCGCUACGAAAAACACUCACACUGGUCUGGCUGAGACACGCGCCUGCGUGCGUACUCAAUCUUAUCCAAACUGAUUGUAAUGCCCAUCAUUCCUAGUUAAUAAAGCGCUCUUUUCCCUCGCAAAAAAAGGAGUAGAACAAUUGAACAAAGACCAGCAAGAAGACGCACUUGACCGAUGGUGGUCCGACGGCAUGGGCCGUGGCACAGAGGGGAGGGCACUCGACGCCGCGAUCGUCCGUGACGCGGAAGCUGUAUUGCCAGAUGAUUUCCCGGCGCCGAUUGCAGUUCGGCAGUCCUCCAUGUACAUGGAUGAAGGAGAGGCACUCCACCAAGUCCAGGUGCAGGAACAGCGUGAAGGUGAGGCUGUACUUGACGCCGGUUGGUUCUUCACGGUCAGGGAUCGAUACAAUGUGAGGUGUAAGUCCUACCUUGUUGAUCGACUAUUUUGCUUGGGUCUCCACACCAAGUCCAGAGGUCGUAGGUGCCAACUUCCCGGCGGCAGGAGCACCGGCGGCCGAUCACCGGUGCGCGACUGCGCGGCCACCCGCUCACUGGACGCGUGCACCGGCAUCCUGUCAAUCAUGAUGAGGGCGUGGAAGGCCGGCGACCAGCACUCAGGUACUGCUCGGGAUGGCGAAAGCACCGAACGAUUUUGCACGGACAUGGAUGAUGGAUCGGUUACCAUUCCCAACUGAAAGGGGGCUUUGGCAGACAAAUGUGGUGUUCGCAAGUUCUAGAAUUUCAGAGCAGUCAUCUCCUGACAGUUUGUAUGUCGAAUAGUAUGUCAAAUCGAAGAUUCCGCAAAUAUCACCACACAUUACCGUGUUUAAUUUGAAAAAUGCACGUUGUGUUACAAGUUACGUUAUAGUAAGACCUUUUUAAAUGAAAUAUGGCGCUACAGUGUUCAUUCCAUUUGCUUUUGCCAUCCUGAGUCCCGGCACGAACUGAAGUUCUUGCUUCAUGAUUAUUACAGUGGUACGUGCGGUUGACAAAGAAAAAAAACGAAACAACCACACCAUCAACGUGGUCACCCGCCGCAUUUCAAACAAAUCCACCCGAACAGAGAAGAUCAGAAGCCCAAAGCAAAAUCCAAAGAACUGGGCCGGGAAAAAUGGCACGCCAUGGCCAGUCACUAUUCUCAAACCAUAGAAACACAAUACUUUUCUCCUCCUAAAAAAAACCGCAAUACUUAAUUAUGGCUGCAGUUACCAUAUGCUAAUGGCGCUCAACUUCAGAACACUCGUUAGCCUGAGUGGGAGUAUGUGCAAGCACAUGUAUCUCUGCUAUAACUUUAAGGGCCUGUUUGGAUACAUCCUCAUAAACUUUAAGACACUCAUAAAGUUUAGGAGCUAGAAAUUGGUAGUCCUAAAAUUUAUGAGUGGGUUGUUUGGAUGAAAUCAUAAUCUUUAGGAUGUUAGAGGGGAAAUGACUUUUGUACCCCUAAUUACUCCACCCCUGCUCCGUUUCUAGCGCCGUGGAGAGAGAAGGGGAGGGCCAACAGGGGUAAAUGAUGGGUUGGGGACCACUUUUAGGAGAAAAAUGACCCAUUAUAAUGGUUUGGUCCUCCUAAUGAAAAGAGCACUCCUAAACAUUAUGAAUGCACUUUUAUGACAUAUGUUUGGAUGCACAAGUCCUAAAAGUGGACUAAAAGUGAAGUUCUAAAGAUUAUGAGUGUGUAUCCAAACAGGCCCUAACCUAUGGUGAAAAUAGCUUCAAGCACAACCCCAAAAUGAUCCUACUUGGAAGUUUGAAAAGGUGUUCUACACCGUACACGGAAGCAACAUGGUUCCAUUCUUCUACUUGGGCCGUGCAUGCUGACAGGUAUGAGUGAGGCAGAGCACCACCGUUUGAUGCCUGGCGGACGGUGGAUACGAGGCGAUCGGGCCUACGCGUCAGCUACUGGCUGCAGAGGAUUUUCCGCCGCGACGACAUCGUUCCCCAAUCCGCCGGCACCCGGCAGGCACCAGCACCACCCACCCCCUCUUUCUCUCGUCAAUCCACUGCAGCAGGGCAGCGACGGUGCCCGGUGAAACUGCGAGAUCCAGCGCGGCGGCGCUGCCCCCCACCCCGCCCCCCCGCGUCGCGCUCGCGCUCCUUGUGCCGCCCACCUCCCCGUCAGGGCAGUUCCCCUGCUCCCUCCGGUACCCCUCCAGCGGCCUGACCUCCCGGCCUCCUGUAUCUCCUGCAAUCCCGCUUCCUCAGGUACUAGUUGAGAGACUAGUACUAAUGGCCGUUGAGAGACUUCACUCGUCAUUUAUUGAGCGGAGAGUAAGAGACACGCGCAUCACCCUCACUCGGCAUCACUGGCCACGGUGAGGCGCCCGAGCCGCGGGAGAUGGGUCAAGGUCAACGCUCAACGGCCGGGCAAGCGGAGGUUAUGUAUCUCUACAGCCAGGCCGACGCACGCGUUAGCUGUCCGCGCCUGCUCUGGCUCGCGGCUUAUGUAGGCGACCGCAGCCCCCAUCCGGCGGCCAUCCCAUAUUCCCAUCCCCCAACUUGCCGCUGGCAGUAGCGGCUACGCUGUCCGCGUUCACUUCACUCGCCUUCGCCUGGCAUUAUCAUCUCUGCCUGAGCCGGUCAAGAGCUGCCAGGGAGGUCAAGCCCUGCCGGUCUGCUCCUCCUACAUAUAUCCGCGGGGGGGCUUGCCGUUGGUUGGACCACUGCUUCGGUGUGGCGUUGGCGCGGUUGGUAGCUCGCUUCUUCAUCCUCGGUCCAGAGCCAGCAGGCCAGUUCUUGGAGAGCAGAGGAGAGGCGGAGGAGCGAGCUCGCGGUAAAAGGCGGAGAGAUGGCGGGCGGCGGGGUGGCCGCGCUGGGGGUGAACACGGAGCGCGCGGCGCAGUACAAGGGCCGCAUGACGCUCGCCGUCGCCAUGACCUGCCUCGUCGCCGCCGUCGGGGGAGCCAUCUUCGGCUACGACAUCGGCAUCUCCGGUACGUUCUCCCGGCCGUUUCUUCUCUUCCCUCUGUUCGCGUCAGCUCUGCGCUCUGCUUCCGUAUCCCGUGGCCGCGACCGCGCGCUUAAUUCUCAGUUUCUCAACCAUGGACGGCAACGGCCGGACCACCGCCGGCUCGGCAAUCGUUCCAGCCUCUCGCUCGGAUUUGUUGGCCGCGCGCACUAGACCCAGUAGCCACUAGCCGUCGGCGCGUCGGGCCUGGCCCCUCGGGCGAGGCUUAAGGUGUGUGUGAGGUGUCGGUCUCGCUACCGCGACAGUUCGGCACGUACGCAUCAGCGUCCAUCGCACAAAAGCCUCUUUGGAUUUCAUGGUGUCUCGAGCGGGCCGGAUGAUUGGGUUUGGGUGGAAAUUGGGGGUAGGACGGAGUGAGGAACAAGGCCGCAGGGAAGGCGACACGAGGACGCUACAAAGCUUGCGGUCCGACCUGGCGGCGCGUUCUGCCUCGGCGCCUGGCGCUGUCGUCCCGCGUCUCCUCCUGAUCUUCUCCCUCAUCGGUGGGGCAUCCGUAACACGCUCCCCGUACCUGCAUGUCCGAAGACCGAUUAUUUGACCACCGAAAGUGUUUUUAGCUCGUGUUUCAUGAGCCCUUCACUCGAGCAUCGGUUGCGACUCGUCAGAACUGGUGACCAGUGGACCCACCGGCCAGUCUCAGUGUUUGCUGCAGGAUUUGUUAGUAGUUGGUCCAAAUAACACGGGUGCAGAUUAUGCACGGUAGGGACGGGGAAAAGAUGCAGAAACGACGAGCUCACACGACCAGCAAGUCUUAAAUCUGGCAGUGGUUGAAGAGACCAUUGACCGGAGCCAUCGCUGCUCAGACCUCACAGGCGAGGACAAAACCUGCAAAAAUCCUAGCUAUAAAGUAUUAUUUCUAGAAAAAACACAAAUAAUGUUAUAUUCUCAAGUCAAAACAUCGUCACAUGCUAGACCCAGUUGACUCAGUGUUAAGUGUUAACUACUCUACUCUAUCGUAUUGCAACUACAGAUUUACAAUAUCCUCGAGAUUGGCUUUGUUUAACAAACCUCAACAUCUAUAGGCUAUAGCCACUUGCUCGACGUGAACUGUGAUUAUAAAAAUAAAAUAAUACGUAUCGUCAAUGGAUAUUAUCUCCAACAAGGCAACAAGGAGUGGAGGUCACCACUGUUGUAAAGAACAAAAAGAAAAUGGCAGUAGUUGUGUUGAUCAGGUGAACACUCUGUUAGUCCAGCUAAUGUCGUGGAAACGAAAGUUCAACACAUAAGAUUGAAGAUGCUUAAGAAGUACUACCUUGUAUUAAAAUAUUCGUCGCUAUUGAGUUUUGGUUACGACGUUUGACCAUUUGUCUUAUUCAUAAAAAAAAUUAUAUAAGUAUCAUUUAUUUUAUUUGUGACUUAUUUCACCAUCAUAGGUAUUUUAAGCCUGACUUAUCUUUUCGUACAUUUACAAUAAUUUUUUAAAUAAGAUGAAUGGUCAAAUAUUGCAAGAAAAGUCAACAGUGACAAAUAUUUUGAUACGGAGGGAGUACUAGUACUAGCGUAAUAACAAUUUUACGAACCACGUAAAUGGAUGCGAAAUGGCCUUUAAUUUUGGCAUGCAAGAUUAUCUAAAUGUUUGAAUGGGAAAUUUAGGAUUGAAAUUAUUUGGCACUUUGUGAUACGCGAAUUCAUAAUGAGAUUAACACUUAUCUGAUACAACAGAAGGUUUAUUUUUUUUGAAGAAUUACGUGCUUGGGGCCACUGGUAGAUUUUCACAUGCCAUGAGAACACAAAUCUAGCAGUUUGAACUCUGAAGGUCUGCCAAUCUGACUGGCCGAAUGCUGCAGGAGGAGUGACAUCGAUGGACCCAUUUCUCAAGAAGUUCUUCCCGGCGGUGUACCAUAGGAAGAACUCCGGCAGCCAGAACAACUACUGCAAGUACGACAACCAGGGCCUGGCGGCGUUCACCUCCUCACUGUACCUCGCUGGCCUCGUCUCCUCCCUCGCGGCGUCCCCCGUCACGAGGAACUACGGCCGCAAAGCCAGCAUCGUCUGCGGCGGCAUCAGCUUCCUCGUCGGCGCCACGCUCAACGUCGCCGCCGUGAACCUGGCCAUGCUCAUCCUCGGUCGCAUCAUGCUCGGCGUCGGAAUCGGUUUCGGCAACCAGGUGCGGACCUGACGAGCUUUUUGAUCGCUUGGUUGACUGAGCAAUGCGUGCUUGGACUCCGAAUAACAGUGUGUGUUCUUGGUGUCGCACGCAGGCUGUGCCGCUGUACCUGUCGGAGAUGGCGCCGGCGCACCUCCGCGGCGGGCUGAACAUGAUGUUCCAGCUCGCGACGACGCUGGGCAUCUUCACGGCGAACCUGAUCAACUACGGCACGCAGAACAUCAAGCCGUGGGGUUGGCGGCUGUCGCUGGGUCUGGCGGCGGCGCCGGCGAUGCUGAUGACCCUGGGCGGGCUGCUCCUCCCGGAGACGCCCAACAGCCUCAUCGAGCGCGGGCGCGUGGAGGAGGGGCGGCGCGUGCUGGAGCGCAUCCGCGGCACGGCCGACGUGGACGCCGAGUUCACGGACAUGGUGGAGGCGAGCGAGCUGGCCAACACCAUCGAGCACCCGUUCCGGAACAUCCUGGAGCGGCGCAACCGGCCGCAGCUGGUGAUGGCCGUGUGCAUGCCGGCGUUCCAGAUCCUGACGGGCAUCAACUCCAUCCUCUUCUACGCGCCCGUCCUGUUCCAGAGCAUGGGCUUCGGCGGGAACGCGUCGCUCUACUCCUCCGUGCUCACCGGCGCCGUGCUCUUCUCCUCCACGCUCAUCUCCAUCGGCACCGUCGACCGCCUCGGCCGCCGGAAGCUCCUCAUCAGCGGCGGGAUCCAGAUGAUCGUCUGCCAGGUUGGCAUCGCAAUUAAUCACAAUGUACUAUUACAUCAUUUUCAUAUACCACGGGCUAAAGAAAGAGUUCUCCCUGCUUGGAUCAUUGGACGCGUGCGUGCAGGUGAUCGUGGCGGUGAUCCUGGGCGUGAAGUUCGGGGCGGACAAGCAGCUGUCCCGGAGCUACUCGAUCGCGGUGGUGGUGGUGAUCUGCCUGUUCGUGCUGGCGUUCGGGUGGUCGUGGGGCCCGCUGGGGUGGACGGUGCCGAGCGAGAUCUUCCCGCUGGAGACGCGGUCGGCGGGGCAGAGCAUCACGGUGGCCGUGAACCUGCUCUUCACCUUCGCCAUCGCGCAGGCGUUCCUGUCGCUGUUGUGCGCCUUCAAGUUCGGCAUCUUCCUCUUCUUCGCGGGGUGGAUCACCGUCAUGACCGUCUUCGUAUACGUCUUCCUCCCGGAGACCAAGGGCGUGCCCAUCGAGGAGAUGGUGCUGCUCUGGCGCAAGCACUGGUUCUGGAAGAAGGUCAUGCCGGACAUGCCGCUUGAGGACGGCUGGGGCGCGGCUGGGGGUCACGCUGCCAAUAACAGCCACAAGUGAAGAAGCAUACGAGUGGUUUCAUGUAGUACUCCCUAGAUGACGAGGCAGAGUGAGCUGUAGGAGGAAUGGAGGAUGUUUAUCAUUGUAUCCAGCUUAUGUGAAAGUUGUAUGUAGUUUCAUGGUGUGCGUGGCGACAGCGGUAAAAGUGCAAGCAUCUUCAGUCAUUCUUUUUUUCCUAACCUACAUUACCAUAGUUGCAGAGACAUACACUUCAUACUCAUAUCAUGGCAUAGGAAACAAAGGUAAAAUAUUCUUCAAAAAUUGAUGCUUUUUUGUCUAUUUAAAUUGAAAGAAAAAUGCACAUACUGAGUAGGAAUUUCAAGGAUCCCGUAGGUGACACGUAAACAUGUUCUGAAUUCACAUAAUACGUAGAAACGUGUCGCUUCAGGACGAUCCUAAUUCGUUCUAAGCUUUUAUCUAAUCUACAUACGACGGAGCAUCACAUAAACAACAGUGGGGGCAUUGCUACAAUCUUGACGAUGACAUAUAUAAGGAAGCGAGCGUAUGCCUGUGGACGGCGGUCUACGGGAGCUGCUACGGCAUCGUCCUCUCGUGCUCUGCUGGAGCUGAGGAGUUCGGAAGUGCUACGAUUCGUCUUCCGGAUUGCUCCGGGCUCAUGCCGCCGCAGCCGUGGGCACCGGCGCGCGGCCGUCGUCAGGCGGCGCACGGAUCGUCCGAGCGGCCCUUCCGCGGGUCUUCAGCAAGAGCACCGGGAUGGGUAGCGAUCGGGGAUCAGGCGCGGCCGCGGCGAACGACGGGCCCGAGUAUGCGGCCGGUAACGCCUGCUUCGCCGUCGUGGCGGCGCCCGUGGUAGCCACGGGUGCUUGCUCGGUUUCCUCCUCCGCCUGUGGGAGGACGGUCUGGUGCGCCGGGGUCGCUACGGGCUCUGCCUUUGCCGGCGCGCCGGCGGCGUGGUGCUCUGCAGCCUCGGCAUUCUUUGCCUCUGUGUCGGGAACACGCUUGUCUUCGGCUGCUGCAGGCUCGGCACUCGCCGCCGGCGCGCUGCUCUGCCCCGCGAACGCCACAGGCUCGUCCUCCUCCUUAGUCUGUUCGCCGCGUUCCACUGCGGCCGCCACAGUCCCAGCCUCCUCCGCCUUGGCGUCGCGCUGGCCCGCGGUCGUCACAGCAUCAACCUUCUCCGCCUCUGAGCUGCUCUGCUCCGCGGCCGCCAGGGACUCAUCCACCUUGUCCCGCACGCCGCAGUUCGCUGCGGCCGCCACUCUCUCGUCCGUCCCCGCCAGCGCGCCGCGCAGGUCUGCAGGCUCGGCUUUCUCUGCCUGCGCGACGCUCGGCCCCGCGGCGGGGAGCGCCGCCGCGACCACGUGAGGGAUCGGCUCCCCGCGCUUCAGGAUCACGACGUUCUCCAUGACGCGCUUGUGCGGCGGCGGCGAGCCAGCCCCGGCCGCCGGGGGAGACCCGCGCCGGCGCUGCCGCCCGUUCGCCCGCUCACGCGCCGCAACAGGCGGGGAAGCCGUGCCUGGAAUCCGGCUUUCCUGCUGCUGCUUCUGCUGCAUUGGACGACGGGGAGCCGGUACGGGCGCGGGCGCGGCUCGCACGCCGCGGUGCGCCCCGAAGAACGCGCGGCCGGCGAGGCAGUCCGUGGGCCGGGUGCACAGAGUUGCCAUCCCGGCCGGCGCGGGGUGCUGGGCGACUUGUGUUUGGGGUUACCGCCGGAGCGCGAGGGGACGAUCGCCUUCGUCCGGUGUGUCGCCGGCGCUGAGCUCGAGGAAGCGGACGAAAUCGUGGUGGCGCGGAGGCGGGCACGGCACGCGGAUAUAUACCGGUGACACGGCGGCAUGGCGCGUUGGAAUCGGAGUCGGACUGGGGUCCACAGUCCAGACGUCCAGCGCGUGCUGGGUGGUUCUACUUCUACCGUUCUACGCGGGCCCAGGGGCAAAACCGGGAAGAGAAAAAAAAUCGAGGGGUUCGACUCAUCCACUCCCCGCCGACUCGUGGGUGGGACCCGUGUGGGUUUAACGCUCUCCCCCCCUUCUCCAUCCACUCCCCGACUGCUUGGGUCUCGACGUCGGCGCCCUCACCGCCGGCGAGGCCCCUUCUUCCGCCGGGCGGAAUCUCCAACGUCCCUACCCGUACCUUGCUGGGAGUGCAGAUCCAUCGUUCGGAAGUCGAUCGGGUUCUUCUUUUGCCGGUAAGCAGCCCAAGCUCUCUUGUAUGGAUUGGCCUAGGGUUUCGUCCUAGGAUUAGUCGUAUUCUUUGCGGUGACUCUAAUAAAUGGGAUCCGGAACCCAUUCCUCCUCACCAUAUCAGUAGGAUGUGGAUGAUUUGUAUGCUUCGUGGUUCACCCCCCACUAAUCCGACCUAUCCACCCGUAGCUCGAUUAGGUUCUUUCUUCAGCGCGCGGCAUCAAUCCCCUUUGGUUUCAAGAAGGAUCAGGAACGUCGUCCAGCCUUGGAGAUACUUCCCCGCUCCGCUGCGUUUGAUGCAUCAUUUCAGGAUGGUAAAUUCUUGAUUCAUAGUAUUUGCCAAAAAAAAACAAUUUCAGUUUAUUGGCUGGCUCAAGCUUCGGUGGAGUGGUUCUUAUGUUUGUGUUGAUCUUUGCGUUCUCUGGUUUUGUAAGUGAUGCUCAGUGCUUAGGCCCCUACUGAGCUGCUGCUGUGGGUUUUUUUCUUCUUCUUUGCGAAACGGAGGUGGAUUUUAUUAACAGGUUAUAAUCUGCUCUCACAAGGUGUACAAGAACUCCGAGCUAAAACAUGUGCUCCUCAGUGAGAAAUUUAACUUCCUGGAUGAGAAAGGCGAGGCGACUUCUGUCCUCCAAUGUCAAGUUCAAAGCAUUGCAGACAUUUUGACAAUCCGAUUCCAGUAUUAGUGGUGAGUGUCUCCAUUGGAUAGCUAAGCUCAACCCCUCCUGGCAAGCAAGCAACUCGGCUUCCUUCGCAUCGCCACACCUGAAGACAACUUGCCUGGCUGCCAGGACCACUUCACACUUUUCAUAACGAGCUGCUGUGGUGGUGGUGUAGGUCGUGCUCAGUGUGUUUUCCAGAGUGGUUUGUGUUUUCACUGUGGUGGUGUGCUGAUUGUGCUUUUUUCUUUCUAGAGGAUAUGACAACCAGCUUGAUGGUUUCUAGAUUAGAAAACUCGGGGGUUGAAGGCAAUGAAUAAUUGCACGUUGGAUUACCACAAAUGACAUUUGUUCUAUAGCAAGCUGGAAUUAAAUCAUUCAUUUCCCGCUCAUGCAGUACUUUGUCAUCACCCACUCAUUCGUCCAAUAGAACUUACGAUGGUUUAACCUUUUCAGGAUUAUCAACUGUCGGCUAUGUUAGCAUGGUUCUCUUUUUGUUAUUUAGAGCAAGUUGUGUCGUCAUGUUGUCACUACUGUUACUAGUAGUCUGCAGUGCAAUAAUGUCAGUACUUACUCCCUUCUCUCGCCACAUGCGUGCAUAACCUUUUCUAAUUUCUUUAUCCCAUGGCUUAUGAAGUUGACAAAACUCCUUCAUAUUUGAUCUAAUUCAUGAAAGACCUAUUCUUUUUGGUGAAAUCCUCUAGGAUUGAACGAAUUCUUUGCUGUGAAUCUAAGAAAUGAGAUCCGAAACCCUUUCUUUCUCACCAUACCAGUAGGUUGUGGAUGGUUUGUGUGCUGUGUGGUUCACCCACCCCCCACUAAUCCGACCUAACCACCCGUAGUUCAAUUAGGUCCUUCAGCGCACAACAUCAAUCCCCUUCAGUUUUAAGAAGGAUCAAGAUCUUCGUCCAUCCUUGGAGACGUGUCCUGUCCGCUGCAUUUGAUGCAUCAUUUUCUGAUGAUAAAUUCUUAAUUUAUAGUAUUUGCUCACAAAAAAAAAAUCCAAUUUCAUAUUUGCUUCAUUGAUGUGAGUGACUAUAGUUGAUGUAAGACAAUAUGACAACGAGCAGACAGGGCUGAUGGUUUUUAGAUUAGAAAACUUGGGGAGUGAAGGCAGUGAACAAGUGCACUCUGGAUUACCACCAAUGGUAUUUGUUCUAUAGCAAGCUGGAACUAAUUUGUUAACUACCCGCGCAUGCAGUAUUUUCUUGUCACCCGCAGAUGCAGUAUUUCGCCCAAUAGAGCUUAUAACGGUUUAACCUUUUAUGGAUUGUCAAUGGUCGGCUGCGUUAGUGCAGCUCUCCUUUUGUCAUUACUACCGUUACUAGUAGUCUAUAGUGCAUUUAUGUCGGUAUUGUGUUCAUUACAAGAACACUUGCUGUUUUUACCACUGAACUUUACUAUGUUCAAUACACUUUUUGAAGUAGUGUUCAAUACACUUUGUGUUGUGACUACAACAUAUAACUAAUAUGUAACAAUUUGUCAGGACCAGUCCUCUCAGUUUAUUGGUGAUGGAGCCUCCCAUGAAGCAUAAGCCCAGUGCUGUGCCAAUCAACACUUCGGUGGAGGAACUGGAGUUAGAAGAUAAAAGUGUAAGAAAUGGCCAAAAUAUCUUGCAUCCGUUUCCCGUCUUCCUUUUGAAUUCACUGCAGCAUGCUUGAGCUUAUUUUCUCUCUCUGCAGAUUGAAUUUAUGUUUCUGUAUUUUGAUGGUACCAAUUGCUGUCCUUGUAGGCUGUGUUAGUCAAGCGCAGGAGGAUUGAAUUUUUGGGAUCAAUUGUCCAACCACAACAGGGCAUUGAAGUUGACAUGGAGCACAAAGUUGCUGAUGAUCUUCCAGUUGAAAUUUCUACUGGGGACGAUCCCAUGGAUGUGCUCAUUGAUUGUGCGAUGCAGAGCUCUGGUGACGCGAAUGGUUGUGGUAAGGGGAACAUACUAAAUGGCAAUUAAUACAAUUAGGCUUUAUGUGCUUUGGUUUCUUUCAUUCUUGAAAGUUGGCCAGGAGGUAUGGCAUGCACAUGAAUGUAAAUGCAUCAACGUUCUUGCUUCUUCCUUGAUCAGAUAUCUAAAGGUACACUUCUUUUUUUUUCCUGUAAUCUAUUGUUUUUACUGAAAUCCAGAGGUUAUACAGGUAAUCAACCAGCAAGGUUGAGACUGCCAAAAAUAUGCGCUGCAAUUGGCUGGAAAGAGCCAUCAUUUGACUUUGAAGAACAAGGACCUCCUCAUAACAAAUUGUGAGUUUUCCUAUUAACCGAUGAAUGUUACAUUUAAUGUGCAUGCACUUCCAAUGUGUAUAACACUGUUGUGUAUUAUGUUACCAAAAAAAGCUAAACCGUCAAGCGAUAUCCUGUGAGGCAGUAUUUUCUGCGCCCCCCCACCCACACCAGCACCACCACCACCAAAAAAAAGAUGAACCAUAAUGUUGUAUACAAUAUAUUUUUAUUGUAGAUUUUAAUGUUGCGAUAUAUUAUUAUGUCAAUGCUGGAAUAUGAUCACUGCAAAUGCAUGAAAAGUACUCUAGCUGCAUAAAUUCACAUACACAAGAGCAGUCCAGAACCGGGAAAAUAGCUGAAGUUCCAUAAGUAGAGGGUACCUGUAAGUUUGUGUCCUUUACGUAAGAAAUAUAGUCGCAUGUAAAAACUAUAAAGCUCUUUCCAAUCUAGAUGGCUGAAAGAAGAAACAAAGGUGAAAAGAAAGCAGCAUUGUUUCUAAGAAUAAAACAACCAAGUCAUUGUUAGUACAGUACAAGAAAUAAGAAUAUAAUUAAUUCAAAAAGAAUGAAAUGGAGAGCUGUCAAACUUUUCCAGAAUUUCUGGUUACAGGAAACGGCAAUGGGUUCAUUUUUUCUCCUUUUCUUUUUUAGCCAGUAUUCUAACCAUGAUGUCCACCUUUAACUCCUUAAGUAGCACCCGUAAAGUGGCCCAAAUUUGGUUAGCGACCAUCAUUUGUCAUCUAUGUGAUACAAUAAUUCAUUGACUUUCCAUGAUAAACUGGUUAUUAUUAGACUCAACUGUGGUAGAAAUGGGAAUGAAUGAUUUCUCCUGAACCCUGCAGAUUCACUUGCAAGGUGACUGUCCACCUAGAGGGACUCGUCAACACUGUUAUGGAGUGCUUCGGUGACCCCAAGCCUAAGAAGAAAGCUGCACAAGAUCAUGCUGCUCAAGCGGCACUGUGGUGCCUCGAGCGCUUUGGGCAUGCCAAGUGAUCUUCAGAUGUGUCGCUACAAGCAGCGCGUCUGUCUGCACUCCUGCUGCUCUGUCUGACCAACCUUUGUUUCCGUUGCCAUAUGUACAUGUCUCGUUUAACCUAGGGUCAGGUGGUAUAGUUGUUCGUUCAUUGGUGCUUAGCCGUGCUUGAACUUGUUGCUGGUGGCAGAAUGUCAGCACCAUCAUCGUCGUCCUCUGUGGAUCCCUCCCCGUGAGGAGUCAUUUUGGCCUGGGCGCGUGGUUAAGAAUUUCAUUCCUGGGUAGUACAUAUCAUGCUGUGACGAUUGUUGUGGCAUAUCGAUUAUCCAAUUGUCCUUGCAGUUGUGGGUACCUGACUGUCGCUUGAUUUUGAAUCCCGAGCCAUGGCAUGAGUUUUGGUUUACGCCCCGCCACCACCGGUGCCAUUCUGCUGAACACCACGCCGCUGCCACCGCUGCCUCCUCCAUAUACCGGACCACGGCUGAUAUAGGUUCUCUUAAGCGAGGACGUUGGCAUUACCCUUUGGCUCUCCACAAUUCCACGCCCUACGUUGUUUGGGAUAACCAUAUAAAUUUCUUUCGUAGUGUAAACUUACGAGCCCUUGGUUCUUGCGAUCUCUUGUUGAGGUACAGCAAAGUGAUACCCCCUAGAUCGCUCUUAAAUUGCAUGAGAUGGUUAAGUUCCAUCCACACAAUUCAAGGUUGAUGUUAUUCGUGCUCAAUUCAGUUCUUACAUGUAAACUCACGUUUCCAACUCGUUCUAACCAGAGGAGCAUGUCAAUAUACCAAUGGCAAAUAGAUUGAACAAAAUGCAUAUUUACUGUUUUAGUAGAAAAGGCCAAGUGGCCAUUUUUAAUGUCAUGGAGCUCUCUCUGUUUUUGUUCAUGACUGAAAUAUAGUUAAAAAUUAAAAUAUUUCUUGAGGUGGCAUGUUUACACGACUGAAUUUCUGUCUUUUUUUUUUGCGGGUCUUCUAUUAGGUGACAACAUAGGAUUCUACAUAUACGAUAAUACUUAAUAGCACUGCAAUAUCUUGUCAUUGAAGAUAUCAGCAAUUAAAAUCCUUGGCUUUCUAUUUAACUUCAGUGGCCAAAAAUAUGGAAAGCUUGCUAGACAAUUACAGGCAAAGAUCAUAUCCGCCGAUAGCUAGUUUAGCAUUAGUUCCCUGUUGCAAUUGGUGGAUAGGACUUACCUGUAAAUGAGAAAUUGCACCCCUACAUGAUGUUGGUCAUUUCAACACUCUGCAAUGCACAACUGGUGAACUGAUUUGACAAUGCUGCAUUGAACUUCAGACACAGUUCCAACUCGUGCUCAUGCUUUGCUGAUAGAGUUAAGUAGUUAACUAAAAGUCAAAGACGCCAACCAAACUAUACAUUUAGAUAUGCCUGCCUCUAAGGCUCUAACAUGGAAAAAAAAUCCCAAAAUGAGGGGUGUCCAUCUAUUUCAGAAACAUUGAAAGAAAUUUCUGAGUAGGAUCACAUCAUAAGGGUCCUGUAAGUGCAGAACAUACCAUGACUGCAACCUGGUCAUAUGAAAAGUUCUAAAUCAUAUCUUGCUUCUAAAUUCACUAUCUCCAAACUUCAUAAAUCAUCUCUUGAAUCUAAAGGAGAAAAAUUGUGGCGACAUUGCCUAGCUCUAAAACCAAAUACUAUCUGGCAGGAUUUAGCACUGGGACAGCAGAUAUUGAUAAUUAAUUUUGCUGUAGUCAACAAGAUGAGUUUUUGACAGUUUGUGUUUACUCACCGGGGAAGGCGGUCUAGCAAAUUUGUUGUCAAGGAUUGCACUGCACGAUCAUAAGCAAUCUCUGUUCUUUUGGCCAAAUCAUCCCAACUAUAAAGUUUUUUCAUCUAGAAUUCACAUUAGAGACAACUGAAUGAACACCAGAAAACUUGCAUAGUGAUCUCUGACUUAAAAGGCUCAUGUAAAAUGCCCACAAGUGACAUGGUACAAUGCUGAGUUCAUGCAAGGUGUAGAAAUCUGAGAGUUAAACUUCACCUGAAGAUGCAUAAAUUGAGGAUUUAUGCCAGGUAGCAUGUCAAUAGCUUUCUUAACAGCUCUGACCAUAUCUUCUGGUGUUGAUUCUGCAAGUACUAUCAUGUCAUCUGGAAGAACCUGAAAAAGAAAGAAUGGUUAGCAGGAAACUCUGAAAUCAUCUGACUAAAGUCAUUCCCUAUAAAACUUAAAAGAGAAACUUACUACUCCCUCAGUUUUUAAAUUUUUGACGUUUAGAACAAGCUAAUUAACUAAAACGGAGGCAGUAUCAUAAAGCACAUACCUCUGGGACACCUCGACGCUAGCGCUUACUGUCAACAGUCCACAGCUAGCUGCUUCUAAAAUGGCGAUGCAAAAUGCCUCCGUAAGUGAACUAAAAGUAAAAGAAAAAAAUGCUAUGUUUCAGUAUUACUGUGCUCUAUCCACAUACAGGUUGCACACUCAUCUGUGGCACGUGAACGAACAAUCUAUUCUCUACGAGAGGUUAGAAUAUAACAGAUGAGGAAAAGAACUCUGUACUUCUGUUUACCCCUGAUCCAUUUAAGUACAUUCAAAACUCCAGAAAGAAAAAACUUCCCAUAAUAUCUAUGAACCAAUCUAUACACUAAAUCCUAUGUCAAAUAUAUGUUGGCAGCCCACAUGUUCACAAGAGCACUUCAUUAAUCUGAUAUAAGGAUGUCAAAAUUCUACUGCAAGUGCACAAAAGAUAUCCUAUAUUCAAAAUGGUUCAAGACCUCCAAUGAGAAAAUGAGGGACAAACGCACUACAAAGCUAGAAACCAUAUAUUAACAGGGCAUGCCUGUUUAAAAAUAUAUGACCAGAGAUCAGAACUGACCGUACUUGAGCAUGAGGUACAGCUCCUAACAUUUCAACUCUAUCCUGAAGGGAGAACUUCUCCCUCAUCUCUCCAAGUCGCACACGUUUUGGACCAUCACCUCCGACAAUAAAGCGAACCUGGGUCCAUAGAGUUGUUUUAUAAAAAAUACAGCCAACGGAUCAAAUACACCACAUCGUAUACUUCAAGAAAGUAAUGGUGCAGGAUGACUAGAUGAAAACAGCUGGACACUAACGCCCAAUGAAUCUGUACUGUCAUAUACUUGGUUUUAUGAUGCAAAAUCAACAAAUUUGUAAUAUCAAGACAGUCUAUGUUUAUAUGCUCCAGAACACAGGCUUCUCCCCUAGUAUAUGCAUGCACUAACCUAUGUGAUUUUGAUUCGGAGUGAUGUAGCUCCAACUCACCUUUGGAAAUAGACGACACACUUCUGGAAUUACUUCCACAAGAAGGUCUGCACCUUUUCGGUACACUAACCUACUGAUCACAACAAUAACUAUUUCAUCACAGCCUAGGCGCUCUGGGGAGGGAGUAAACAUUGCAGUAUCCACGGCAUUAGGAACCAUAAAAACUUUCUCCGGAGAUAUCCCAGACCUCAAGACAGUAUUCUCUUUGCUUGUAUGAGAAACACAUAUUGCCUGGUCAAUAUCUGGAAGAGUAAACUGGAUGUGAAUGCUUCCAGCAUCAGCAAAACCAUAAAGUGAGUGAUCUGUGAAGACAACUUUGUACCCCAUCAUCCGAGCAUUCAUCAACGCUUCAUGACACAAUGUUGAAAAAGCCUGAUGUCCGUGCAUGACAGAAAUCCUCUCACGUAUAAUAAUGGUUCUUACAACUGGAAAUGUCAAGAAUAACGUAGGCAGUGUAUUCUGCAUCAGGAAUGGUCUCCAUGGUACAUAAUAAACCUUCAAACCAUUUGUGACAUAACGUACUCCAGAUCGGUUCCAUAUGCGUGUGUCAUGACAACAACCUAGGCAAUCAAACAUAAAUUUCUUAUAUUUUUCAAUAAAAUAUAGUUUUCAAUUAAUCCCAAACAGGGCUGCUUGGAACUCUGCUUAUGAGAAAGGUUUUGUUGAAAUAUUACAUGACUAUAAAGAUAACCCCAAAUAUAAAGAUCAAAAUGGUUCGGUAUCGGAGGGCUGGAGGAUUACCACCAGCAAGUUCAAUGAGAAGUUUCCCGUAGCUCAUUUCACAAAGAAGCAUGUGCAGGAGAAGGAGAAGGAGCUCAAAACUAAUUACAAGGCACUAAAAGAUGCUAAAAGAGAUAGUGGUAAUGGUUGGAAUGAAUCUUUGUGUAUGAUACUAACGGAACCAAAAGUAUGGGAGAAGCUAAUUGCGGUAAGCCAUUUGGACUCUAUAUAAAAUAUGCUAAGAAGUAGCUAAGUUAUUGUUGUUAACUAAUUAUCCUUUUUUGUUAUAUUCAAUAGAAUCACCCAAGAGUAGUAAAGUUUUGCAAAAAGCCAUUUUCCCUCUUUUACCAAUUGGAAUCACUAUAUGAAGGUGAAGUUCCCUCACUUGCAUAUCUUAAUUUGUUACUUUCAGCAUCAAACAAUUUAUUGGUUCUUUGAAACUCAUAUAAUCUAAGUUCCAAUGGCAUCUAUGAACAGGAAGUGUUGCUACAGGAAACCUAAACUUUAAUCGUUUGCACCUGCACCUUCUGCUCCUACUCCUACACCUACUCCUGAUCUCCCUCCUCAAGCUCCUGCUCUCCCACCUCCAGCUCCUGUUGAAAGAAGUAAUUCUAAAUAAAGCCUUCAUUAUGAUCUCAGUCUCUAUGGUACAAAUCCCUUUGCCUCCAGUUUUGAUGUCCAAGAGACCUCAAGUGCACGUAACGAAAACAAUGAAGCUCAAUUUGCCUCAUCAAAUCAAGAUUCAAGGCAGGGAGAAGGUGGAAAAAAGCGUAAGCAAAGUCAUAUUGAAUCUGCUCUUGAGGGAUAUGUGGAGUAUAAAAAGAGCCAAACCAGCAAAACUUUGGAAACUCUUGAAGAAAAGAAAAGGCAUGAGGAAGAAUUUUCAGUUGAGAAGUGUGUUGAUCAAGUGGAUGCUAUGGUUGAAUUAACCGAUGAGAAGAAGAUGCUUUGAAUCUUUUUGAAUCUGAGACACUUGGGAAGACAUUCAUUACAACAAGAAUCCUAAUGUUCGAUUACUGUGGCUAAAACAAAAAAUCAGGUAUGUCUCUUUAAUAUGCUUAGUGUAUGGUUCAUGAAAAUUUACUUAUCUGAUCAUGUCUAACCAUGUAAAAUUUUGCUUUAUGUGAACCUUCUGCUGAGCUGCUGACAUGGCUAAAUUAUUUCACUUUUUUGUUUAAUUGUAGAGCCCUUAUGGGAGGCACUACAUGAUGUGAGAGUUAGUCGCCAAAAUCCCAAAGGUAGCUUAUGUGUUGUUUCUUUCAUGCUAAGUAUCAUAGCUUUUCCAUCAUGUCAGUUUUGCUACAUUUUACUCUAUGUUUACUGAAAUGAUUAGUUCAUUUUUUCUGAACUUGUUAUAGACCAACUUAUUUGCUAAUCCUUGAUUUGUUCCAUUGAUCAUUGGUUGGUACAGCAAGUUACUAUUAAUCAACUUGUGCUGGAUAUUACACUCUUGCUUUGUGUGAAUCUUCUGCUACUGAUAUGGUUGAAUUAUUUUAAAAAUUUUAUUCUUUUGUUAACUGUAGUGCCCUUAGUGUAAGCACUACAUGAUCCUAACAUCACGUGGAUUGUCAAGAUCACUAAAUAAUGAGUAUCUGAAAGACCAAAACAAUAUAUAAGUGAUUGUCCAUGCAGAUUUCUAGUUACUUGUGACAUUUUUUAUCUGGACAGAUUGGAUUGCUAGUUCAGUCUCAUAAGCUUCCUGAAAUUUAAGCACAAUGCAUAUAAGAAAAGUCAUGUCCUGUUUGCUUGUUUCCUGAUAAGGAGGAUCUUGUUACAUAAGCUUCGUAAAAGAUCUCGUGAUAGAUUUUCUUUUGACCAUCGUUUUGUGCCAAAUUGUUGUGAACCCUUGCGUAAGUAAUUCUGAAAAAGUCCUUGUGUAAGUAAUUCUGAAAAAGUAUAUUUGCUGCAAGAUUUUGUUUGCAUUGUUGUAGCAAAAUUAUUGUGAGCUAAGCUAAUCUGUUUGGUUUUAUUUUCGAGCUUAAGCUGAAGCCAUAUUUUGAUCUUGUCUUGUCUAGUAGGAAACUACAACAGUGUUGUCUCUCUCGUCUUUGCAAACUUGUGCUAGAUAUUUACAUCUUGCUUUAUGUGCUGCCAGUCUGCCACCUUCUACUGUUGACAUGGCUGAAUUAUUUCACAAUUUUGACUCUUUUUUUUUACCUGCAGAGUCCGGAAGCAAUACAUGAUCUAAGAAAAAUGAAGCGAUUUGUGCUGAAUUGACAUGCCAGUUUACUAGUCCUUGAUGCUUGCACAUGUGUUCUUUACAUGCUGAAGUGCGUGGUAUUGUGCCACGAUAGCAGUUAUGAAAAAUUUUGAGUAUAUUGUGUAACAUAGAGUUGCAUGGUGUGAAUCAUUUUAGCUAUCUUCUCGUUUUGAGUAUGUUGGUGCUGGUCGAGAAGGGUUAAGCUUAUAUGUAAUAGCAUGUGCCUGUUACCCCCGAGGAUCAUGGAGUAAUAUUCUGCUACUUUGAAUAAUAUCUUGAUAAUAUAUGCAUUAUGCUUAUAUGGACUAGUAUAACAUAUGACACUCUAUGUCCAUUAAGUUUACAGACAGUACAUCCUUGUAUUUUGCGGCGAGAAGAAAUCCUCAUCCCUGUCAAUGCUCAUGGGGGUAUUUUCCUCCCAUCCCCAUCACCGCGCGGGGAAUAAUUCCCCAUGGGGUCCCGUCCCCGCAAACUAUCCAGCGAAAAAUCACCAUAGGAGGUAAAUCAUCAUCGCCGGCUGCAGCAGUCCGUUACAAAAAUGUCGUUCGUACAAAGAGUUAAAGCGAUGGCCAAUAAACAUUGACGGGGAGCACAGUGCGCUUGGGGCUGUGGGUGGGAGCUGGGAGCACAGCACGCAGGAAUGCGUCAGGGAGGGAGGCGGUCAGGGACGCCCUCUUGUUGUGCCGCCGGUGUCUACCGGUAGUGGCGCUGUGACUCAAAAACCUUGAGAAGAUUAGGGUUGGGACAUUGCGGCAGCACUACAUAUCUGAGAAUUGAUGUAUAGAUGUUGGCUAGUGGCGGACGGACGGUCAGAUGGGACGUGGGGAACAAAAUGGGCCAGUUGGGCAUUUCUUGACUUCGGUGCUCAUACAUGGUCUAGAUAAAUCGGGGUCUUGCGGGGAAUAGGGACAGAGGAUAGGGGAUCAUCCCAGCCUGGCGGGGGAGGAAUUAGCCCCGUUUUCGUCCCCGUGGGGAUAAAAAUACUACCGUCCCCGUACCCUAAGGCCUAGUUUGGUAACAUGGGGAGCUAAUCCAGGGAGUCCAGGGAGUACGCCCUGGAGGUGAAUUUUUACGGGAAUUCUUUUUCCCAUCAAUUUCCUAGGUGGUAAAUCCCUGUCAAUCUUGGAGAUCAUAGAAAUAAAUAAUAAUUUGUCAGCACAGCGAAGCUUGUGGCCGCACAGGCGCACAACGGUGUCCCCAGGGCCCGUGCGUCAAUGCACGUGGCCUUGCAGCACCGCUCCUGGAGCACAAACGGCGGCGCCGGUGGCCGUGCAAUAGAGCCCCUCGAGCGACUACAUCAGCACCCCUCACCAAAUAUGAAGGACGCGAAGCGGCGCCAAGAAUCGAGCCGUCGGCACACUAGCUGCUCGGCCACCUACUUGGGGUUGAGCAGCGCAAGCUCAGUGAGCUUCUUAGCAGGCCCGGCGAGGUGGUCCUGUCCAUGGAGCUGCUCAUCUUAUACCCCGCGGCCAUGGCGCAAGCGAGCUGGAGGUCACGACCUUGCGCGCCAGGGGCCUCGUCAGCCGCGCCCCGAUCUCGCUGCCAGCUACCCCGCACCGGGACCUUGUCGGUCCCAUCACGGCCUAGCUGCUGAGGCAAGGCGCGCUCCUAGACCUUGCACCGUGCCGAGUUUCUGCGGCCGUGCCCAGCUCCAGUCCCCUCAUCGGCUGCCCCCCGCGCCGCCGAGUUGAACGAGAUGGGGAGGCAGGGGCUCGGGGCAACGCUUGGACGGAGGGUGUCGGUGCCUAGUCGGAGGCGGGCAGCGGCGCUAGGCGAAGAUGACGCAUCGAAGAUGGGUACCUCGACGGGGAGACAACAGGAUGGAGCUUGGGCGCGGAGUGGAGAAGGGCUCGUGGAAGGGGAGGGGGAGCGGCGACGGGGAAGUGCUCACCUCGUAUCGCUCGCGAUUCGCGAAGCGGGACGGGGAAGCUGUGCCUGGACCCUCGAGGUGGGGAAGAGCCGCCCUAGGGAAAACACGAGGGUCGGGUCGCCCUUCCCGUUAGCGUGGGCUUCCAAAAGGUAGGAAAUUUGACAUGUACUUAGCUUUCCACGUGGUAGUCCAGCUCGGGGAAAACGGGGGCAUCCCGACGGGGAUUGGUGCUCCCAAAUUAGGCCUAAUGAGGGAAUUCCUCAUGGGGAAUCGGGGGUCGGGGCCGUUGCCAUCCCUAGGCCCCAUUGGCAGAGAUGACAGGUGGGUCCAAUGGCCCGCUAUUAGCAAGGGAACGAUGGUCGACUUUUCUAAUUAUCUAAUUACUAGCAAAAUGCCCGUGCGUUGCUACGGUAAAAGAUCAAUUGUGUUUUUCAAACUAAUGACACCGUCCGGACGCACCAGAGCUGCCUCCCCGACCCCGUCCACCCGCGUCGCGCCGCCCGGCCUGUGCCCGCCGCCCGGCUUGGCUGGGGCGGUGUGGGCGGCUGGGGCCGAGGCUGGGCGGCGCGGCUCGAGCGCGGCCGUGGCAGGCGGCCAGGGCCGAGGCGGCGCGGGAGCUCUCUGACAAGUGACGAAUUUUUUUUGGCAAAAGUCUUACUUGCUUUAAUAUUAGGUAGAGAUAGAGAUUAUGUUCUGAGCGAGUUCAAAGCGCUUGCCCAUUUCUUUCCAACUGACGUUGCGGAGUGCUAGAGCUUAUCUCGCACAGACCACCUCCUCUCCUCGUUUCUCUCAUCCUACUCGUUUCUUCCUCUUUUCACCAUUGCUUAUUUUUCCCUCAUAUCCCGGAGCUAGCAAAGUAUGCGCUUCCUGCUAGGAGGUGGUGGCUCGGGUCACCAGUCAACACUCCCGAGCUCCGCCGGUGAGCUUGAGCAUGACGUUGAGAGGGAAAGGAGGCAGCUUCUCUUCCCCUUCUCUUCUUCUGAUCUUCUCAUCUUUCUCUCUCGGCUUCUCCAAUCCAGCGAGCGUAGCAGUGUGGCUGAGCAACGGUGGUGGCACCGCUGCGAGCGCGGCUCCUGCACAAAUCCAAUGGCGGGCCGAGCGAAGCGCGGCAGCUGGAGAGCUACGGCGAAGCUCGCACGCAUCGGCGUUGCGGCCACGCGGCGUCGUCACUCGCAGCAAUACCAGGCUUAACAGAGCACGGCCGGUCGAGCGGCCGGCCUGCCUAGCACAAUUCAGCGGGAGCGGGCGGCGAACAGUCUACGUAAGAAAGCACGCAAAUAAAACAAUGAAAUUAGAUUCCAUAGGAUAUAGGAUAUGAAGUAGAUAAUAGCAACAAAGGGAACGCCAGCAUUAUAAGAAACCAAGAGAAACAAAUUGAGGAGUAUUCAUCAACAUAAAGAAAACACCAUUUUUUCAAGGUCAAGCAGUGAGAAAAACAGAAACAGAAAAAAAAUGGCAUCUCAAAUAGCAUUGCUAAAUCAAUCUAGUGGCACAAACUAUGUGUUCCACCACAGACCUAACAUUCUAAACUAUCGGUUUAAUAAACCUAGAAACAAAAAGGAAAAAUGCAUGAGUUGCUACUGGAACAGACCUAACAUUCUAAACUAUCGGUUUAAUAAACCUUGAAACAAAAAGGAAAAAUGCAUGAGUUGCUACUGAGGGACUACUGCUACCCUUGCUGGGUAACAUUUUAGAUAGCGUAUAAAAGUACAAUAGUAACGAAAGCAAUUUCUCCAACCAACCAUCAGCAUUCUUGGAAGGUUCAGAAUAGUUCAGGAUAACGAUUGUGCUAAUAGAAAGACCAAUUUGUAAUGGAUAUUCAGUUAUGGUACUCAGAAUUUGAAGAGUCUAACUUUGUCCAAAAUAACACAUGAAAAAUAAUGCACUGAAAAUGGAGAGGAAUUGACACAACGUGAGUUUUUGAAAAGGAAAAACAACUACACCAUCAAACAGCUUUAGAUUCUUUCGUAGCCUAAAUACAAUAUGAAUUGCGACAUCCAGAAUGGCUGGCAUACCUCACAAGCAACAAGUCCAACAAUGGCUUCUCAUUUCAUCCACUGGUGAGAACUUCCUUUUGAAACACAAUGACUACCUUCUGCCAAAUCCUGUCGCGCUUGUGAAGUUUCAUUAAGAUUAUUGUCUUGAGAAAGCUCAUGACUUGGACAUGUAUCAAGGCUGUUGAUGGACCUGACAUCUACCAUAAAAUUUUUUACCUUCACCUGCAAGGAAAAGGGAAUUAUUUACCCGGUAGAGCAUACACCAUGUUUAAUGUAAUGAUUGUUUUUUAUUGCAAAACUGAGAAGCAAAUGCAACAGACAUCAGUUACACCACUGUGAAUCCUUGCUUUUGUGACGUAUGUCUCAUGGCACUAUCACAGUUGGUCUAAGCAUUCUUUUUUUUUCAAACACGCAGGAAAGCUGCAUAUCAUUAUAUUAAUUGGAGAAGAUAGAGUCAUACAGAGACCCAAACACACACUCACACACCCCAAAACCUGGUUAAAUGCCCGCCCUGUUACCUGUUUUGAAAUCUGAAGAGCAAUGAGUUCUGCUAUGCCAGUUCCAGCCUGCAGUCAAAUACAUAAUCAGAAUCUUUUCUUCCGUGUCUCUAAAAUGAAGAAUCUCAUUGAUGGGAACAAUUUCAAUUCAACGGAUAUAUUUCAACAGUUUGACGGCAAAGGGAAAAAAAAGUCCACCAAGAUAAGCUAUGAGGCUAUCACAGUAUCACUAACCUCCCCAGCACCAAGGAACAAAUACGUGUGCUCUGCUAGGGUCCCACCAACCACCUUGAGUGAUGCUAACAAACUUGCAAGGACCACUGAUGCUGUGCCCUGCAAUCAUUCAUAUUUCCAUAUUGGUACAACCAUAAAAGGCAACAGACUGGAUGAUGGUGAUGACUCAAUUAAGGAUCACACCUGGUAAUAGUAAAAAAGAAAAAUAUCAUUGUUUGGUUCCAUUUACCUGGAUAUCAUCAUUGAAAACAAGAUGACUCUUGCUAUAUUUUUCAAGCAGAUCAAAAGCAUUAUGAUUGGCAAAGUCCUCAAACUGUAAAAAAAAAACGGUUACAUUUUGUGAUAAGAGUAAAUUGAUCUGACAUAGCAACAAUAGUACACUGAAAGUCUCUGACUCACCUGAAUGAGGACUUUCUCACCGUAGAUUUGCACCACAGCGCUCAUGAAUUCUUCUAUAAGCUCAUGAUAUUCCUGCCAUUAAGGAAAAUGCACAUGUAAGGCCUCAAGUGCCUGAUAUUUUGCCAACUCCUUACUUCCUGCAAUCUUGUCGCAACUACAUACCUUGCCAGUUGCACGUUUUUGCCGCAGUCCAAUGUAGAACUCAUCAUUAAGCAGUUCCUCACCCAAACUAAAGCGAUAAAUGACCAAAAUAUGCAACCUGACAAACUUAAAAAAUCCACUGCCACUCAAAUUUUCAUCUUCUUAUUUCCUACAUACCGCCUUCCAUCUUCUGAAGCCUUCCAUCAUCCCUUUUACUGGCACCUUGCCUCCUGAAAAUGGACGGCAAUAUUUAAUAAUAUGUUCACAAGUAAAAUUUUCAAGCACCAGAUUUAACUGACAUAUAAUUACCAAUUGGACAAAAACAGGGAGUGAAAAUGACAAAAUAAUAUUUACUGAAUAAAACAUCUGAAUGGUGAAAUAGGAAGAUGAUAACUACUGAUAAUACUGACAGGCUAGCAUCUACACCAGAUAAUAGCUAGUGCCAAAUUUGUCUGCACUACUUCAUGAAUAAAAAGAAACAUAGGUUUUUCAGUUUAAUCAAUCUGACUAACCUUACAUUUGUGAACCGGAUCUACUUGACCCUAUACCCGGCCAGCCCAUAAAUCUGACGAGCAGGGCAUCUCAGCUAUCCAAUUAAGCAAUCAAGCAACCCAAACAACACCUUGAUUGGGAUUUGUUUUCUACUGAUGCACAAACUGAACGAGAGGGAAAUUACCUAGGAUUUGUGGAAGAGGAUUGACCUCCGUGGCUGCCAACAUGCUGCACUUGGCGGAGGCUGUCAUGGUGAAGAUUUCAGGUUCACGAAUCCCUGAUGUGGUGACGCGUGAGUUAGACCUCUCGGUGAAGAAGCCGUCCGUUUGCAGGGGCCGCCGGCCAUUCUUCUCUAGGCCCGCCAUCGAACGGCGCUGCUGUGCGGCCUACGCCGGCAACGCCGCAGAGACCUACCAUAGCCAUCGGCCACUCGCGAUGAGAUUGGAAGGGAGAAGUGAGGCGAGAUAUGGAUUGGAGAUUGGCGGGGAGCCUGGCGGGAAAGCUUGCACCACGCGGGAGAUCGAUAGAAUCACAGGAGGAGCUCCACGCUUCGCACGGGAUCGAUGAGGAGGCCCUGCGGCGGUGCUGCUCGAAGGCGCGGAGGAACUCGAGCGCGGGCGGGCGGGCGGGCGGCACGCCCACAGGCCUCCUCUCCUCCUCCCUCCGGUCCCCACCUCCUCUUCUUCCUCUCUCUCUCUCUCUCUCUCUCUCUCUCUCUCUCUCUCUCUCUCCCCCCCCGGCUCCUCCUCCCUCUCCCCCGGCCGAGGCGGGCGGCCGGGGCCAAGGCUGGGGAGGGGGCGGCGCGGGGAGGGGCGGCUCGGUCGGCGCGGGAUGUGGAGGGCGGCGCGGUCGGGUCGGCGACGCGCCGCCGGGUCGCGCCGCGCCCAGGGGCUGCGUGGGGGCGCGCCCAAUCCCCCGAAGAAAGAGAAGCUUUUUCCCCUAACCCCCUCCCUUCCCUCCUUUUUCCACCCGAGGCCCCCGUCUCUUGACAAUUGGACUGCGGGUUGAUUACACAAAACAUAAGGGGUUUUUCUGCAAAAUUACCACGACGUACAAAAAUCCGGACAGAGGCGUUACUUGCUUUAAUAAUAGGAGGCGUUACUUGCUUUAAUAAUAGGUAAAGAUAAAGAUACUGUAUCUGUUAAAUUUUUGCAAUAGAGUACUACCGAUGGUGCCUGGUGAGAGUCGGAGCAUAUGUAGUAUCAUCCCUGCUCACUAGCUUAUUGAUUCGACAUUUUAUUUCCAUAUCCAUGUGACGCGUCGCGUGUGUAUAUAUGAGUUACUCCUUCCGUUUCAAAUGGUAGGUCGUUUUGAUUUUUUAUUUAUAGUUUUUGCUAUACAUCUAGAUAUACUCUAUGUCUAAAUAGAUAGCAAAAAUUAUAUAUCUAGAAAUGCCAAAACCCACAGGAAAAUAUCAUCUGUGCAUGCAGUAGUAUCAUGGCACAAAUUCUCACUAGCUUAUUGAUUAACGUUUUUAUUUGCAUGUGAUGCGAAUUUGAUGCUUCCAUAUAAAUAGCAUAAAUGCAUCUUCAAUGUGCGCAUCAACCGUCAUUUGUGCUUUGACGGCAUGGAUUUUCAGAGUGAAGAUGCGGUACUGAUGACUGAUGAUCGUGUGCCACCUGGACCUAAUAAUUACCCUCACGAUUCUGGUUCCCGUUUUGUUACUUGUUUCUGGCUGAAUCUCGAGCUUAACAGUCGAUAAUACUUUUGCAGAAACUCAAAUGUUGUCGCAAAUCCAUUGCAUAGGUUUCCUGAACCAAGAGAAAAAAAGGAUCUUGUCACGUGAUGCUGCUGCUGCCAUGACUCGUCGCUUUGUCAAACAAUAGAACAUGUACAAAUGAGGAGGGAGCCGUUAUACAUGUCCCCGUCUCCCUGAGCAGUAGUCUACGGCAUCCGGUGAGAGUGCCAAACCCAGACGCCUGGCGCAUGACCACGGUAACAUGAACUGCUUCCAGCGGAUCUGAUCGUGACCGGUGCAAGUCCAACGCAUGUUCAGAGUCCGUAUCGACAGCAGCUUUAGACUAACCCAAAUGGAUCCGGGCGCUUGCGCAUCAGCAUGAAUAGUCAAGGUUUGGGGUAGUGGUUUAGUUACUUUUUUUGGCAGGUGAGGUUUAGUUCUUGAAUGUGAUUGCUCAGAACUUGUUUCCCCGUAGUAUGGUACACAUGUAGAAAGCAAGUACUUAGCAAUGUUUAAUUCUUAUUUGUGAUGCAAGUAAUAUGAUGUACAUCAAGUCAGCACUGCCGGGAGGCGCAUUAUGGCCCGACAUGGUGCCUUCGCGACUAGUGGACAUGGUGUCCAUGCAUGGUCAUGGCCCAGCGAAGACUAUAUCUCUGAGGGUCCAGCAGCUAUGCAAUGCAGCCUCCCUUAAUCAUCUAGACUCAAAUGCCCUUUUGGCUUAGGUUAUUGCUUUUUCUGCACAUCCAAUUUUUUUAAUGUUAGACAUAGAGGUUAUCUGUACACCAGUAGUAAAGUUAUGCGCAUAACUUUUAUGUAUAUCAAUAAAUUAGGUGUUGAAAUAUUUAUCAUAUAACUUUUUAUACAUAAAUUAUAUAGCAAAAUUUUAUAUCAUCCCCGAUUUAUUUUUUUACUUUUUACAUAAGGUAUGCAUACAAUUUUUUCUUAGUCAAUAAAUUAGACCAAGAGUAUAUUUUUUCGCAUAAGUUAUGCAUAUAAAUUAUUGAUCAUAUCUAAUCCAGGGAUAUAAAUUAUUGAUCAUUUCUAAUCAAGCUUUUAUCUUUGACACAUGACUUUUCCCUUCACAACUUUUUGCACUAAUAAGUUUAUAACCAGGCAUAACUUAUUUAUGCAAAGAAGUUAUAUUUACGCAAUUCUUAAUUCAUUAUCCCCCAAAGUUUUGCAUGUUACAAGUCAUUCGCAUAGCAUGCCAUUCACAUAAGUUAUAUGCAUACCAAUCAUAAGUUUAUGCAUGGACCUUCUAUGCGAAUCAAUAAGUUAGGCGUUCAAAUAUUAUUAUAUACAACUUUUUUGUACAUAAGUUAUAUAGAUAAAUCUUAUAUCAUGCUUGAUUUUUAUUUUUGCAUUUUGCAAGUUAAUAAGUUAGACCGAUACAUUAUUUAUAGAUAUUUUUUCGCAUAAGGUAUGCAUAUAAAUUAUUGGUCAUAUCUAAAUCCAGGGAUAUAACUUUAUAAACAACAAUUUUUCACAAGAUUUUUUCAUCAUUUUUUGAUAAGGGAAGUUCUCAACUUAGUAGCAUUUAUCUCCUCUUUUAUUCAGGACAUCUACUAUACUUUUUUGUUAUCUUCAAAACAUGCAUAAUAUUUUACUUGAUAAAAUGUUGUGUACAAUCUACUAACUUCAUGGUGUUUUCAUGUGCAGCACUAGCACAUUUUCUACUCCUUCUGGAAUUGCCUCUGUCAAUGGCUGGUGAGUAGUCACAUAAUUUGUAUUGCAGUUGGAUAGGUCAUGCUGCUCUAUGUUGUGCCCCUUAGUUUCUUUUGACUCCAAGCUAUUGCAUAUAUACACAAUACAAAUGAGGUCGUAAAAUGUUUGUGUUGCCAGACCUAUUUAGUGCACAAUUGUUUAUGCAUGUCCUCCCUAUCCAUUGUGUUGUUUAGUAUUCAUAAUAGAUAACGAUGUUUAAGAUAAACUUUUUCCCUUGAAAAAGUGUGUACAACAUAGGUCAUGCAGAUAAGUUAGAUACAUAAGUUAUUUGUUAUGCACCUAAGUUAUAUAUGUCAGAAGUUAUAUAUUAGUUAUAAGCUAUGUGAAGAAAUUAUAUAUUUGUUUAAGACAUAACUUUUUUCCUUUACAAGUUUUGUAUAUGGUAUAAGUUGCACAUCGAUUAUGCAUAGACUUAUAACUUAUAUGUCUCAAGUUAAUACCGGUUAUAAAUUAUGCACAAAAGUUAUAUAAGUUGUGUUAGUAAUAUAAUAACAUUGUUUCAUCAAAAGUUUAUGUAAGUUUUGACCUUAAGUUUUUGUUUCUUUUUGUUAAAUAAUUGCACAUAACUUUCUGUGCAUAAGUUAUGUGGAUAAAUUCUGUGCCAUGUCAAUAAGUUAGGAUGAGAUAAAACUAUUGUAUACAUAUAUUUUUGCACAUAAGUUAUGCUCAUAAAUUUUGUAUAUGUCAACAAGUUAGGCAAAUAGAUCAUUUAUAUAUUUUCCGUGAUUAAUCAACGUAUAUAAAUUAUUAGUUGUGUCAUUAAGUUUAUAUAAGAAUGUUUAUUUUCACAAUAUUUUUGACUUUUUAUCAUGUCAAUAAGUUAGGCUUAAAGAUUAUUACAUAUAAUUUUUUGCACAAUAUAGGCAGAUAAAUUUUGGUCAUAUCAACAGGUUAGGUUGAGGUAUUAUUUGCAUAGUUUUUUGCAUAAGUUAUGUAGAUAAACUAUAUUCUUGUCAAUAAGUUAAACCUAGAGGUUUUUUAUAUAUUUUUUUCAUAAGGUAUGCAGAUAAAUUUUGGUUAUGUCAUUAAGUUAGAUAAGUGGCUUUUUUAUAUAUAUUUGUAUGCAUAAGUUAUUUGGUAUGUCAAACUUAAAACUUAAGAAUAUAACUUCACAUGACUAUUUUUUCAUUUGUUAUAUACACUACUAACUCUAUUCUCAUUUUCUAAAAUUUUGAUGACAAAUUAGAAAUGACAGGUUACGCCGCAUGUUCCUAGGGUCAAGCAAGAAUUAAGAUCAGUAUUGUAUGAAAGAGAGAUGGGGCAAAGUUAUAUAUGACAACUUGUAUAUACAUUUUUUGUUAGCUUUAAUGAUUUUCUGAGUUAUAUAUGCAAACAUAUCUUCACGUAUUGAAAAUACCAUUGAAAAUAGCUUUCAUCUUGAAAUUCCCCACCUAAUUUUACUCCCUCUCACCCAAACGGUUCCGAAUGAUACGAGCGACAAAAGAGAAUCCUAGAAAUGCGCAUGUAAGGAAAAUGGGCUCCCGGAACAAUGCUGGCACGGAUCUCAGCGCAUGAAAAAGAAAAUGUGAAAAAGAUGAGAGCAAGUCCAAUAGUUCUAUAAGACAAGACAUGUCAGCUGUAGACGAGUUUAGAGUCUAAUUCACACAACUUUGCUCUUCACGUUCUCCGAGACCCACUCGUCAUACUUGCAGGUCUUUAUUUCUUAGGGGGUGUUUGGAUGUUUAGGAUCUUCUAAAAUUCAUGUCACAUCGAAUAUUCAGAGGCUAAUUAGGAGUAUUAAAUAUGAGCUAAUUAUAAAACUAAUUACACAGAUGGAGGCUAAUUCACGAGACGAAUCUAUUAAGCCUAAUUAAUCCAUCAUUAGCACAUGUUUACUGUAGCAUCACAUUAUCAAAUCAUGAACUAAUUAGCCUUAAUAGAUUCAUCUUGCAAAUUAGUCUUCAUCUGUGCAAUUGGUUUUGUAAUUAGUCUAUAUUUAAUACUCCUAAUUAGUUCGAUGUGACACAAAUUUUAGGAGGGACCGAAGAACGUACACCCCCUUAGCCUUCUAUCCGCUCAACAGACACAGCACGUGCAUCGAUGACUUGGAGCUCGUGUUCAGCUGGUCGACGGAACCAGCGCCAAGCUCCCUUCUCUCUCUACGCCAGCUCCCUUCUCUCUCUACGCCAGCUCACAAGCAAAGCUGACGUGCUGGGCGAUACGACUGUUAUUGGGCUUGCUCUGAUGUGGAAAACGGGACCUGUCGGGAUAGCCCAUCUCAGGUCCAAUCUAUAUGGAUGGGCUAGAAAUCUGAGCGUUGUGGACUUCAGCGAAGAUAGUAUUUUUUUUUUUGGAACCUGGAGAAGAGAGGAUUAAAUUCCUUCAUAUUGUUCUCUAUCUUUAUUUUGCUCUCACAUCCAAUACUGAAUAUGGUCGGUCAACAGUGGGUCAUAGCCUGGGUCGUCUCUGAUGACUGAAGUUGGUUCUCGUCUGUGUCAAUGACCGAUCAAUGCUUCUGAUUGACAUGACCCCAUAGCUCUAAUCUAUAGCAAUCAUUACCAAUAGUGAUAUGAUAUUUUUUUCCUUUGCCAAAGAAAAGGGGAGAAAAGUCCCCAUAGCUCUAAUCUAUACCAAUCAUUACCAGUAGUGAUAUGAUAUUUUUUUCGGAGUCUAAUUCGCGAGACGAAUAUAUUAAGCCUAAUUAGUCCAUAAUUUGAUAAUGUGGUGCUACAGUAACUAUUUGCUAAUGAUGAAUUAAUUAGGUUUAAUAGAUUCGUCUCGUGAAUUAGUAUAAGGAUUCUGCAAUUAGUUUUAUAAUUAGCUCAUAUUUAAUCCUCCUAAUUAGUAUCGAAUAUCCGAUGUGAUACUGCUAAAAGUUGGAUGUUUGAAUACCGUGGAACGACAGUGGCGAGGAGAGCGAAGGACGAUGGAACCGUUUACCCUCCUCGUGCUCCUCGCGGCCCCUGCGUUCUGCACAACUUGACGGCAAAUGGAAUUUAUUUAACGUGAUUUCGGGCCAUGAUGGGACCUCACAAGAUUCGCAGCAUCAACAUGAACAUUUUUAAGAACUUGCUGAGCAACCAAUGCCCACGCCCCACGGAGCUCAUUUUGGCGGGUCUCCCGACGCAGUAGCAAGCAGAAGCAGAUCCGCACCGUCUCCUCCACCAGUCAACCCAUUCUGAGUAGUACCUCCACCCACUCCCGGCAACCUCCGCACGCUGCCAUGCCGCCGGUCGGUAGCCUCACCGCUGAGCAGCUCGGCCUCUUCGACGCCAACGGUGAGCGCAUGCACCGCUCCUCCGCAUUCCCUCGAGCUCUCGCCUCGCUCGCUCCCUGCAGCCGGAGAGGCGGAGAAGAAGUGAGGGCUGGUGUAGUGGCGUGCGGUGCAGCCCCUAUUGACGUAAUCCGUCUUAAUCUUAUCCGGGAUCUCGUUGUUUCUUCCCUGCAGGUUACCUCGUGCUGGAGCCGUUCUCGAGCGAGGAGGAUGUGCGGGCGCUGCGGGACCGCAUGGCCGAGCUCGUCGCCGGAAUCGGCGGCAGCAACAACUCCACCGGAUCCUGCGAGCAUCACGUAUCUGAUCACCUCGAGCCCUGCCUUACACUUGCGCUGUUUCAUCUCCCAAUACCGAACUCUGGAGUACUAGGCGCGUAGAGAGUACACCGCAACAGUUCUGUAUCCGCUUGAAAUUAUAAACCGGAGUUGCAGGUAUCAAACUUAGUGAAAUGCAUGUUUAGCGUCUAAUCAGGCUAAGUGUCUAAUAAUUGAUAAAUAGAGUUAUGUUGCUCAGUACGAUCGCAAAGGUGCGCGUGCGCCAAUUGAAAAUUAUCAUCGCAAGGAUCAUGGGAGUUGCAAGAUAUACACACCAUUUUUUCAGCUUCAUUGUUACCAGGCCAUGAUGCGAAAUGACGGAUUUGUUGGCACCGUGGUUAAUGCAUAACCUGUUUAUUUUUGUUUGGCUUAAUUAAAAGUAGUACUUUUUUUUGUUGCAGCGGAUGGCAAUGGAUGACUACUACUUUAAGAGCGGGGAUAAUAUAUCAUUCUUCUACGAGGGUAUCUGAUUUAUUUUCUAUUGACUUGUAGGCAUGAGUCACACAGUUCAUUUUUUUUACUAUAAUUUGGUAGCAUUUACAUGUUAUGUUUCGACUAUAUGAACUACUCGCCACUAUCUUUAGUUACUUCGAAAAAAAAAGAGGACAUAAAUUUUUCUACUGCCUUUAUGUUUAUUUAGUACACAUGUAGUUUAAUUUCUAGCUCUGGUAUUGCUAUGUCACUUCUCAAUAUUGACUUGAAUGACCUUAUAAAAAAAAUAUUGACUUGAAUGAUGAUAUUUCUAUUUUAUCUCUUUUGAUGUUUUUCUGGUUCAGGAUAUUUGGAUUUUGGGUAGUCUGAUUGCCUUAACUUCUUUGUAUUAUUCCACUCAUAGAUAAAGCAUUUGGAGAUGAUGGAUGCUUGAAGCAGUCGAAGGAACUUUCAAUUAGAUUCGUUGGCCAUGGUUAGUAUGUAAGUUUUGCAUUUACAUCUAAGCAAUUAAACCCUUCAGCCUGCUUGUCUUGAAUACAUUUUAUCUAUUGGUCCUAGCAAUACUAUCUUUAUAUUAAGGUUUCGGACUGCAAAUAAUCAUUUUGCUGAACAAAUGUCUUAUUUUUCUCACCACUUACGUUUCAGUCAUUCUCUGCAUGCUACUCUAGUUUCUCUAACAAGAAGUGUUUGUCAAAAAGGAAGGGAAUCAUCUUGUUUUAGUAUUAAUGUUGUACAUCUGGCCCAUUGUCAUAGGAGAUGGAGGGGGAGGAAGGCUAUAGUUAUAGGAGAUUGAUGUUCUUAUGAAUGUAUAGCUUUAGAAUUUAGCGUUUCUUAUAUCUAAUAUUUGUGCUGCCAAAAAUCUAUAAUCUGGAAUAGGGAUAAAUUGGAUAACUUAUAUUUUCAAGAUGCUCAAAAUUCAUCUAUAAUCAUUGUUACCUUAUGCUUGAAAGUCGUAGUUAUCACCUCAGCUAACGGGUUUUUAAGCCAUCUUUGAUAAGUAUCGAUUCACCGUUACAUCUAGUUCUCACCACGUUAUUUUCCAUACAGCAUUACAUGAACAUGAUCCGGUGUUCAAAAAGUUUUCUUUAUCGGAGAGUGUUUCAAGCAUAUUCUCUUCUUUGGGAUACAAGAGACCUGCAAUUGUUCAAUCUAGAUACAUCUUUAAGGUAGACUUCACAUAUCCUAAUUUAUUACUACGACAUGUUCUUUGACGACUUUAUUUAUCCUUAUUGUAUUAUUUUCUUCUUUGUAGCAACCAGGUUUUGGUGCUGAGGCAAUACCACACCAGGAUAAUACAUACCUACACACAGAACCUCCAUCAUGCACGGGGUUAUGGCUUGCACUCGAAGAUGCAACAAUUAACAAUGGUUGCCUAUGGGCAAUUCCAGGAUCACAUAAAAGUAUUUCUUUUGUGUCCAUUUGAUGAUUAAAAUAAACUUCUUUUGAAAAGCUAGACUAUGUGACUUUUUUUCUACUUUUAAUGUUUUGCAUCAGAUGGUCUGAAAAUACGAAUGAUCAAAGACGAAAAUGGUACUUAUUUUGACCGCCCUAUCCCAUCCUAUGAUCACAAAGAAUUUGUGCCAUUGGAAGUAAAAUCAGGGAGUUUGGUAAUUAUACAUGGAGAUCUCGUACAUAAAAGGUGGAGUUAUGCUUUUGUAUCACAUUUGUUUCCUAGUUAUGAUUUGCCUUUUCAUUUCUUGUCCAGUAACUUGUUUUAGCUUAUUUUCUGUAGCUUUGAGAAUCUUUCUCCAGCUUCAAGACAUGCAUUGGUCUUGCAUGUUAUAGAAACCAAAGGAUGUGAAUGGUCCAAUGGAAACUGGUUAGUUCAUGAUGGGAUUUUUUGAGAUGGCUCCAAUUAUAUGACUCAGUUUUAUUUGUUUAUUGUUUUAGAAUAUCUUGACACAACUAACUGUGCAUCCAUAAGAAAAAAAUUUCUUAUAUAGUAAUCGAAGCCUAUUUUUCACGCUUGCAUUGGACAUGGCAUGCACCGGUUCGGCGGUUCCUCAUGAAAUCACUUGCAUGAUACUUUCAUAGCAAAUUGAAUUCAUAUGAGUGCUCUAUACUAGCAAUUCAGUUACAUGUAAAAGAAAGCAAAACAAGGUAUCAUAUAAGUAAAUUUCUUGUUUGUUUAUUAGGAAUAUUGCACAUUUAAUUACCAUGCGAACAACUAUUGAAAUAUAUCUAUGACAAUAUGUUGAUUGAUUGGUGCUCUUGUUUUGUCUAAAUGAAACAUGUACUCUCGUUUUAGAAUAGAAAAAGGACAGUUUGUUUACAGUGGUGAAGCAUGUCAUACCCUUUAUCAUCUAUGAUUGAGCAUUGCCAGACAACGGAAAAUGAUAUGUUAUCUUAACAUCUUGAUUUUCCUCAUUCUCCUAACAAACUUUCCAUAUGCUUAUAUUCUCAGGUUACAAAGGAAAUCUUAACUAAACGGGGAGUUGCGGCUAUGGAAGUGACUUCCAGCCCAGGCUUCCAGUAAGCAAACUACACGGAUGGUUUUAGACUUUUAGUCACUGUCCUUGUUCCAAUAAAAUAGGGGAAUGCUGCCGAGCAAUUCGAUUCCAUAUUCACAUGUAAACUUUGUAAACACUCCCCUUAAUUAAAUAUCGUGACAAAGUCGUUGCUUAUUUCUUUCUUAGAGUUGGCGCAUGCGUGGAUGUACAGAAAUAGACACGUCUUAGUCGGAUGACGAUUCACAUGAUGCUUAGACUACCAAAAGUUUGUUAUUAGCCUAAUUGAAAACACCUUUUAUCUCAAUUAAAAGGAAAAUAAACUUCAAUUCAGCCAGUAACCCAGGUAGCUACGGAUCGUCACAAAUCUGCUCCAUCUCCCACAUUGAAAAAUGCUGCUAUAAUAUUGUCAAUUAAAAGCCAGAUAUAGAAAAGUUAAGGGUAAGGCUAAAACUGAUACUGGAUUGAGAAUCCAAAGUUAUUUCCUGUAAUUUUCUGCAAUGAUAGAAGCUUUGUGGGUGUAAACUAGAAAUUUUAUAUACGGGCGUAUGGAAAAUUUUACCAGGCAUGAUACAUUUUUUUUCCAUGGGAACUACUCCCCCGUUUCAAAUUAAAAGUCAUUCCAAUUUUUUUAGAUUCAAACCAUUUUCUGUUUGACCAAAAUUAUAAAAAGGAUCGCAAAGAUUUAUAGCACCGAAUGGAUAUACUAUAAAAAUAUAUUUAAUGAAAAAACUAAUGGUACUUUAUUUGGUAUCAUGAAUAUUAGUAUUUUAUUGUAUAAAUUUGGUCAAAAUUGAUAUGUUUUGACUCUCAAAAAAAUUAGAAUGACUUAUAAUUCGGAACGGAUGGAGUAGUAGAAUCUAUACCUAAUAUUAAAGUGUAGUUGUUUCUUCCAACCAUUGUGGUUGUUUUAAAAAAAGCCCCUCAACUUUUUCGUAAUCAACUCGCAGUUCUUGGAAUAGUUCAACUUUUCGUAAUCAACUCGCAGUCCUUGGAAUAGUUCUUGAUGAUUUUCGCAACACUAUCCACAAAGCUUCACACCCGCGCAAUAAGCUGUUGGUGCUACCAUCCAAUGCGCCACCGUAAUCAACUCGCAGUCCUUGGAAUAGUUCUUGACGAUUUUCGCAACACUAUCCACAAAGCUUCACACCCGCACAAUAAGCUCCUGGUGCUGCCAUCCAAUGCGCCACCGAGCAUCUUCCACGACGGAUGAAAGGCUCUCGUAACUCGUCAUCUCAUAAGCAUUGCUUGUGAGAACAACAGAAUGCUUAUGAGAACAACAGUUAGCUCCAGAUCUCUCAUGGCGUCCAGGGCUUCUUCCCAUUUCUCGACGACACUCUUCUCCUGGAAGUAUCUAACAUACCCUGGCAUGGUCUGCAUGACCCAUGAACACAGUUUUGUUACUUACUUGAUCAUCACUAGGUAAUUAGCUGAAGAUCCCUUUCCCUCGGAGAGGCCAACCGAGUCUUGGCGAGCGACAGUAGUGCGUGGCAAAACGAGUGGGCUCAGGAGCUCCGUCAGCUGCGAGAGCUUCCCUGCCCGUGAGGUCCGCCAUGAAACGAACGCAGACGCCACCUGACAUUUUCGCUGACCAAACGUGAAUGUUUGGAUGUCAGGCAAUCUAGAGGCGGCAUCAACAGCAGCUGGACACCAAAACCAUACCAAGAUCUUUCCUAGAGCUAUACAUCCAAUGCAACUAUAUGGAACUAUAGAUAGCUUAAUCUCUUGUUCAUCCGAUCUUAGUUAUUCCAAACAUGCACGAGCGAGCGAUAUCAUCUAAAACUAUUUAACUUUGAUCAUCAAAAGUGUGGCGAGGUUUGAGAUACCGAGGAAAGUUAUGCUUGGGCCUUGGAGCAGCUGAACGACGGUUGGUCCUCCAGCUCGUCCAACCGAGCCGGUGUGUUGUGCUUGUCUGAGCUGAUUUGUCAUGGUCAAACUAACAUUAUUAUAUAUAAUUGUUGUAAUGUACGAAUGUCUAAGUUAAUACAUGUCUAAUUUUAAAAAUAGUAUAGCUGCCUACUUCAUAUAAAAAAAAUUUCUUUCCGUGCAACGCACCGGCACAUUUGACGGUUGCCUGGCGCCGUGCCAGAUCUUCACCGGACGAUCAAAUCGCCUCUCCGCAGACAAAACGCAGUUCCGUACCCGUCACUUCACUGUUCCGGUCAAUCCUUCUCCCCUCCCCUCCGCCUCCGCCCUCCGCCAUGCCGCCGGCCGGUAGCCUCACCGCUGACCAGCUCAGCUUCUUCGAGACCAAUGGUGAGCGCGCCGGCCGCUCUCUCAGGCCUAUCUCCUCGACCCCUCGCUCCUGGUCUCCUGGCAAUCGGAGGCGAAUUGAAUGCCGCCGCUCGUAUCGAAGCGGGAACCCUAACUCGUCGCUUUGCUUGGUUCCAGGGUACCUCGUGAUGGAUUCGUUCUCCAGUGAGGAGGAGGUGCGGGAGAUGCGGGACCGCAUGGCCGAGCUCGUCGCUGGGUUCGACGGUGCCAACACCAGCGUUUUCUCCACCAAGGACCAUGUACGCCUCGAUGGGGAUUAGUGUCGAAUCCUUGUUUCCUUCUCUAUAUAACAAACUUCAUAGGCGCGUAGCAUACACAGGUCUCAGUCUCUUUUAAAAUUGCAUUGCUAGAUUUGAAUUCCACGAAUGUUUGCCUUACAAUCUCAAAUUGCAUUGCUAGAUUUGAAUUCCACGCGAUUGAGAAUGUAUUUAUAAAUAGCUUAUGGAAUGUAUUUGCCCAGAUUGAGAAUGAUUCGUUAUGUUGCUUUCACUGCAGCCACAGUUAAAGGAUGACUAUUUCUUCAAGAGCGCAGAGAAUAUCUCAUUCUUCUUUGAGGGUAUGUGAUUUAUCUUGCAUCUGACUUGUAGGGGUGAGGAACUAUUCUGCUUUGUGAACUAUGAACUAUUACUGUUUAUAGGUUAUGUAGCUCAUAGUUAGUUUGUUAAAAGAAAAAGGGCCUUUCUACUGUAACUAUGUUACUACUAGUUUUGUUAUUGCUCUACUUCUUCCUAACCUUUAAAAGUUUGACAUAGAUGGUGAAAAAUUGUAUUAGUACAUUUUUUUGCUAUUUGUAUGAUGGAGUACCCUUUUUUAUUUCACACUUUUUCACUCACAGAAAAGGCGUAUGGAGAUGAUGGAUGCUUGAAACAGGCAAAAGAACUUUCAAUUAAUAAAGUUGGGCAUGGUAAGUAUGUACACGGUGCAAUCAGAUUCAGUGAGAACUGAGAAAGCAUAAUGUAACAAGUUGCUGCAUUUCAUUUUCAUUGCAUUAUGUUAUAUUUUAUUCUGAGCCUACCUCUUUAGAGUUGCCUUUAAUUUUGUUGUUUGCAAUUCCUGUAAUCUAACUAGGUUGAAUUAAACAUCUAUAUGGUUCAAUUUUUUUUUUGUGACAAUAUAACCUCCCCUGCUUUACAAUAGUUACUAUCUUCCAUGUUGUUAAUGUAUUUUUUAAGCCAUUGAAGAAGAAAGGCCUGGAUACUUGUUCGCUUCAGCUUAUAAGCCGACUAAAAAGCUGAAACGGCUGAUUUGUUGUGAGAGGAAAAUACUGUUUGGUGGCUGAUAAGCCAGCUGAAUAAGUUGAAGCGAACAGACCCAUAGUAUGGCUUCUAGGUUUCUAACCUUCACCAUCUUGUAUGAUAUGCAGCAUUACAUGAACUUGAUCCUGUGUUCAAAAAGUUUUGUUCCUCGAAGAGUAUCGCUAGCUUGUUCUCUUCUCUAGGCUACAAGAGGCCUGCAGUUAUGCAAUCUAUGUACAUCUUUAAGGUAGAUUUUGCAGGCUCUACUCCUUUUCCUUUUGACAUGAUAUUCAAUUUAUUGAUUCCCUUUUUGUGUAUUUUCUUUUUCGUAGCAACCAGGUAUUGGUGGUGAGGUGGUGCCGCACCAGGAUAGUACAUUCCUUUACACAGAACCUAGAACAUGCACAGGGUUGUGGCUUGCACUUGAAGAUGCAACAAUUAACAAUGGUUGCCUGUGGGCAAUUCCAGGAUCACAUAAAAGUAUGUCUUUUAUCCAAUUAUUUUAUGCCAAAAAAUCUUCUUUUAGAAAGUGGAACUGUCUAACGUUUGUUAUCUUCAAUGUUUUAUAUCAGAGGGUCUGGUAAGGCGAAUGAUCAGAGAUGAAAAUGGUACUCAUUUUGAUCGCCCUUCCCCAUCCUAUGAUCAGAAAGAAUUUGUACCGCUGGAAGUAAAAUCAGGGGCUUUGGUGGUUAUACACGGUGAUCUUAUACAUCAGAGGUGGAAUUCUCCUUUAUAUUACUAUAUACUGCUUCUUAGUUGUGAUGUACUGUUUCAGCUUUUUUAAUAAUGUGUUUUUUAACUUUUUUUGUACAGCUUUGAGAAUCUUUCUCCAGCGUCAAGACAUGCUUUCAGCUUACACGUAGUUGAUACUGAAGGAUGUGAAUGGUCCAAGGACAACUGGUUAGUUCAUAAGACACUACUGAAGAGUGCUUCUUUACAAUACUUUUUUUGUUAGCGCUAGUCUCUAGAAGAUCUUGACUUAAUUGACUAUCAGCAUCGAAAUUUAGAAAUGCUUAUGUACAAGUCUUAUUAUGUCUUCAAGCUUGUAUCUGACAUGACCAGCACUGUUUUCCUCCUAAAUCAAGCUACUGGCAACUGUGUCAUUGUCUGUGAUUGGUACAUUUGAAUGAUUGUUUGCAUUUUGCAGUAACCAAGAACAUAUUAGCGCUUUGGUUAUUUGCGUAGAAAAAACAAAAUAACUUAUGAUCUGGAUACAAGCUGCCAUUUUCUCAUCAGGGCUGCUGCUUAUCUUAUUAAGCUGUAGAUCAGUUGGAGACUGAUGAGUGAUGAUAGUAUGUUGUUUCUGUUUACAAUGUUGCUCUUGGAUGAAUCGAUAAUAGUGGUGACAGUUAAUACAGGGGAUAAUAGGGUGGUGUUUCAACGAGAUGGUACACCCAUCAUUAAAUAUGAAACUAGGCAACCCUGAGUUUCUGGGUGUUGCUGAACAUGCACAUUGAUGUCAACAUAGUUUUUGCGUUUCCCUCAUUUUACUAACACGUCUGCUUUGUUUUUUUUCUUAUCAGGAUACAGAGGAAAACUGCCCCAGAACCGCUUUAUGUAUCUUAGACAAACCAUCCAGUUACCAGUAGUGCUGUAAAAAAACAGAGAUUCCCAGCAAGUGAUUUGUGUCGCAUAUCAUUGUCGCAAUAAAAUUGGGGUAUCCUGCCGUGCCAUGAUGUUUUCCUUUCACUUUUCAGCAUGUAAAUACCCUUCCUUUUGGUACUGUGUUCCCAUGGAUAUAUCAUAUUUAGCAUACAAUAAAUGCCCAUUAUCAAUAUCGUGUCGAAUUCCCUUCGCACAAACUAAGAAGGGAACAACACAAGCUCACUUUUCAAUUGAUCAUGGGAUGCUGCUACUGUCUGUUUUUGGCGAGGGAAGUGUGGAAACGAAGCCAUCUCGCUUCAGAUUUCUGGUCCAGUUGCCGUGCUUUUUCAUUUUGUUCCUCGCCGUCGAAUCCGCUUUGUAGUUUCGGCUAGGAAGGACGCAAUACGUGGAACUCCCAAAUAUCUGUAUGCAUCCCAAUGAAGGACGGUUCACACUUGACAGCGAUGUGUGUACAUGAUCUGUAUGACUCUUAGAUGAUAUCAGCAUUUCCGUGGGUGCGCAUAUGCCCUCAAGAAACAAACAAGCUGCACGAUCACGAAAUCGACCCGGCACCAGUACACGUACAAGAUCUCAAAUCAAGGUUCUGAUCCUAGCUCCCAAAGGACACUGCAUACAUCUAUUUCUAACGACGCGAGUUGCAUACACUUGUGCACAGUGUAGAAUACAGAUUAUCAACAAACCAAAACCAGCACGAGCAAGCUUAAUUUCUUUAUACUUAUACAGUAAUACAGUGAUAGUGAGACGAGAUAUGAGUUAACAUUAAGCCAAAAAACACCCAAACCCAAGUUUUUUUUUUAUCGCCAUAUGCCCAUAUACCUUGUCGUAAGUUUUGGCCGAGCUGGGAGAGCCCGUAGCUAGGUAGCACACAAGCCGCCA